AUCUUUACUGCAUCUUGAGGCGGGUGGGGACCUGACCUGGGGGUAGUCAGCGAUGGGGCCUGGGCAGGUCUUCUGGCCUUGAGUAGAUGCAGCUUCAGGUCAGUGCGCCUGGCAGAGCUAGUGAGGGCACCUGCUGUGUGCCAGAGCUCGGACCCAGGAAGCUGGGCUGGUGUGGGAUGUCGUGUGUGCGGAUCCCAGAUCUGUCUAGUGUAGGAGGGCUGGCAGCCGCGCUGGACGCAGGGAGAGGCAAUUGCGCCAUGGUGGGCGCUGGGCUCAUUGACCCAGAGCCUGGAGGUCCCAGGGUCUCUUCUAGCUAAGGUGCUAUGGUGAGCCUGCAGAUAAUGACCUACACUGUUGAGGAAUUUGCUAAUUGGUAAAGAAAGCUCAGGUGAGAACAUCAGCCAGUGUUUGUUGGGUAUUUCACCCUUCUGUAAAUAGGGAAGCAAGAUAAAUUAAAUCUUAAAUUAGUAAAGCUUCGGCUUUAAGAUAAGUUAAAUCUUUAGUAUUCAUGAUAUUUCUGUGUUUUUUGGUUCAUUUUGUUUUACACUACUUCUGCCAAUUGUGUGAGGUUAUCAGUUAUGUUUCAGGUAAGAAGUAAAAUUAAACAUUUUGUAUUCCUCCAUGGUUCAGUGUUCUAAAUGAUGCCUUAACUCAGAUGGACUGUAAGACUAGAGGCCUGGGACCCAUUGCUGGGAUCUCAAUCUAUUUUGACAUAUAUGUGCUAAGGUAGCAAUAGUAUCAUACAUUAAAAAACUAAAAACUUGGACUGAGGAAGUAAACAUAAGAUAUUAAAAUGCCUCAUUUUUGGAAUUGAGGUGAUUUCUUUCUGAGACCAUCACAGGGAGGAAUGGAAAUUGUUGUUUGUUUUCCUUACUGUUCCCCCAGUCUUUGCUUUUGCCUCACAGAAAAUCCAUUGGAACUCCAGUGUUAAAGAUGGUUAUUCUUCCUUCUUUUUAAGAUUUAAAAAAGAAACAUGAUCUGUCUAUUUCUGUUAAAUCUGUCUUGCAUCUGAAACUGUUGCAUGUGUCUGAAAAAGAGUGUAACUAAAAGCUGCCCCCUAAGUUAUGACAUACCCUUCCUUUACAGUGUUUGCCAGUUUCUCAACAGUUGUGAAACCCGAAGACUGAUGUGUGACAUGCAGAGAGCGCUUUAUUUGCAUGGAACUAAAUUAAUGUUGCCUUCAGCUCUAAAAUUGUGCGUCUCUUUCUACAGUGACUGUUUGCCUCAGUUUUUUUGCGGUGGGGAGGAGUUACAAGUUCUGAUGCAACAUGUUCAGUUAUUUCUGUGUUAAAAAAUGAGAAUGUCUACUAUGUCAUUUCUAAACUGUACUCCUAGGUUGCUGCAUGUCCUUGAAAGUGUGUAAAACUAUUAAUCUGCAUAGUCAGUUUUAGUUUGAAACAUACGGCCACUGGACAUGGUGUCUUGCACUUUGCCUUGCUUAUUAGUCAUUGAGUAGCUUCCCACUGAAUGGGCACUGUACCAUUCUCAUGUAUUUUCUGAAGCAAUUCAAAUUCCAUGUUUAUCUUGAGUUUUAUUGAUGAAGUUCUGGUUCUUUGCAAAUGGUUCUGCAAGGUGACUGGUGAGCUGAGCGGGAUACUUCCUUCUCCAGCCAAGGCAGGAGGCAGGAACAGAUCUGAGAAGGCAAUAAUAAGGUGACACUGCCAGGUUGGGUGCGGUUUUGUUGCUUGAUAAUUUGAACUGACAUCGUGUCUCCUGAACAAAAGUAAAAUUCUCUUCACCUUAGCCCAUUGGCUUGGACUUGAAAGCUGUCUUUCAGUUUCUGUUGUAUUUCCCUUAGGCUAAUCAAUUCCUGACAAAUGAGAAAAGAUAUGUUAAUCACUCAGUGUUGGCUUUAUGGGGUGAUUGAUGUAUUUUAAUUAUUGCCUAGGUUUAGAUUCAGAGAAAAUGAGCUGGCAAACUUUAUGAGAAGAACAAAACAAAAACAAACUAAGAAAAGAGUGCUGUCUGUGGACAUCUCAGAGUGUGAAUUUCGGCCUUGCUGAAUGACCUGCCACCCUCCUCACUGAGUGCUGUCCAGUGGAGCAGCACAGGGGCUGGCUGUGAGACACUUAGCGGAAGUGUCGCCAGCUCUCACGGCUUAUUCUCUCAUCAGUGGGCUUUGGGCCCUUCUGUUGAAAUUUGUUUUUAAACAUCUUGUACGCUAUGCUAUUUUAUCAAAUUAAGAGCACUAUACAUUCCUUAAAAUGAUGUAACCAGGAUUUCAAGUCAGGAUUUCAAGUUUGUGUUGCUUUUUGUUUACUUUUCAUAAAAAAAUUAAAAUUUUAAAAUUAAAAUUAAAAAAAAAGUGGCACUGUUGGUUUGUUCUUUAUAUUUAAUGCUAUUAAAGUCCUCACCUGCCAUGUGUGGGCUGAUCAGCGGGGUCAGUUGUCCCUGGCAGUCUGUUUCUCCUCAUCCUGUCUGCAGUUCUCCUCUCAUCUCCUUUGGAGGCGCUUCUGCCUGCACCUCACGUGGGUCACCUGGGGGGCCGGUUGUGGAGAGGUUUGUUUGCUUGGUGCCCUCUUCUCCCCAGCAGGUAGCAAGCCCUGGAUAGGGAGCCUGGCUCCCCUCAUUUCAUGUUUUCAGCCCUAGCACAGACAUUUAUGUGCAGUAGACAUUGAUUCAUGUUUGUUAAAUCAGUAAAGUAGUAGAUGAAGGAUAAGAUGACUUACGGUUUCAAAUUAGGGAGUUCUGUUUUGAAAUUUUGUAGCUCUUAAGUCAUGGCCAGAUCACAAAUACCUGGUGAGUUUCUCAGUUUGUAAGCUUGAGUGCUGUGGACACAUGAGUUUGAAAUGCUCUUUUGGGGUGUGUGUGGGGCUCCUGCCUGCUAGUCAGCCUGUUGAGGACAGUCUGCAGGGGUGGUGGGCAUGGUCUCCAGCGGGCAUAUGGGGCGGAGGUGUGCAGGUCAUUUUCUUCCUCAGAUGAGCAGUGAAGACACUGGGUUAAGGGAGUGCUGUGUGGCCAGAGCUGCAAAGUCCAGUCUAGACUUCACAGUGCACAUGUGCAUGUGAAUCAGAAUUGGAGAACUGCAGAGUAAAACAGUUGGUGCAUGCAGGUAGGCCCAGCCUCUGGCCUCCUGUGACCGUUUUUUAGAGAAGCUCAGCCCUGACAUUGAUACCAAUCACCAAGCAGUGCAGUGAGGCUCUGCUCUUCCUGUGGGCCGCUGACCCUGCACUGGCUCAGCCUUGGCCCUGUGGCUUCACUUGAAAGCUCGCCAGCUGGGAUUGUCCUAGCUCGUUUCUUUUCAUUCCUGUCCCUUCUCUACCAGGAUCAAGUCUGUCUUCCGGCUACUGAAGAGGUUCAUUUCAGGCAUUGAAGUCCAGGGGAACUCCGGUUUCCCACGUGACAUCGUGGCAUGCUGUCUGCUCGCAUUUGCUGAUAGGGAGAGUAUCUCUGUUCACAGGGUGCUCAGAGCUCUUCCUGAGCAUUCUGUCGCAUUCCACAUGUCCGUCCAGCAGUGGAAGUGUGAAGGGCAGGAAUGCGUUUUCAAAACUCCCCUUGAGAGGACUUUAGGUUGUGGCAGGAGUGGAGUCAGGCAACCCAGCUAAGCCUAGGUGUAGGUAAAUUCUCAAGUGCAGUGUUUCCAUCAACCCCUCCCCGCCCAGCUGAGGAGGAGGAAUGGCAUUGGGCAUGUCAGAAGCUGAGGGCCACAGUUAACAUUUCUUAACCAGGUGGGGACAUUAAACACUGGAAUAGAUUAUCAGGGCUCUUCUAAGUGGAAAGAAUAAAUGAUUCAUAUGUAUUUUUACUAUAAAUAUACACCACUUUGCUAAAGAAGUUUGAAAGGUAACAUGAACAAUUUUUUAAGCUGGAAACCUGGAAAGCCUGGCCCGCUAUGGGCCCCGAGCUGGGGAGAAGGAUUGGGUAGCAGAAUGGACCCUUAACCCAUUAUACCUCCCCAUGCUGAGCCUAUGCACAAUAGGCACGUUUGACUACUGGGAUUGGAAAGGGCACCCCAAAUGUAGUAGCCCCAUCCCUUUACCCCCUUUGGCAGGUUAAAGCCUGCUGCACAAGCCAUGGGAAACGAGGGGAGGACCCCUCCUCAUCCUGGACAGCUCUGCCGGAAAGAAGUGUUUCUGUGUACCUGACUGCAGUUCCAGUUGGACACACAAGUUUAUUUCUAGUUUCAUCUUGUGGGUCAAAGAAUGAGUCUUGUCUUGUCAGUUUUCCCCAAGGGAGAUCACUUGGUAUGGAAAACAGUUUCCCAGGGGUGAGUCUCAGGCCAUUUCCCCCACACAGGAUGGUCUCCGGCUCCGGACAGUGCAGUGGCUUUCCUUUCAAUCCUGGGCUGACAGGAUCCCUCAGAAGUGCAGUGAAUGCAGUUCAUCUCAGCUCUCCUUCUAUGUAGCUUUAGCACUUGAGCUCAGCUCCUUCCAUUCUUCCAUCAGGCUCUUCCUAAUGCUCAUGUUAACCUUCAAGCGCCAGGGCUCAGUUUGUCGAAGGGGCACAUCUAGCAACUGUAGGUGCGCUUGGCAGGAUGGGGUUCACCAUGGCAAGACCCAGAUGCUCUUGGUCCUAAUGCUUUUUCCACUGAAACUCUUUUGUCUGCACCUUCAAGGUGUCUGACACGGAUUCUGUGUAAGUGGGCACAUCCCAGAAAGUAGGUGUGUGUUAACACUGACUUUCUACAGGUGUUGCUUUUGCCUUUUAUUUGUCAUACAGGCAAGAAGUAAAGUCAGGAGUCCAGCCUGGCACCCUGGGAGUGGUGCAGGGACACUGAGAGGCCGUGACCACUAUUUAUUCUUCAGAACACUGUUGUGGAAACCCUGCCACAGCCAAGCUGCCUCUUGGGCCUGCUUUUUCUGUGCCUGGACUUUUGAAAGUUUUGAUUAAACAACCCUUCAGACCUUGGAUUUUGGUAACUCAAUGGGUUUGUGUAGUGGUAAUUGGAUGCCAGGGGUAAGUUUCCCUAAUGCUUGAAAGAGGUGUGACAUAGCACAUUGGUGUGUGAUACUCAGUGCUGAGGUAUUAACUACCAGUAACAACAUGUAGACUUUUGCGUGUGACUAAGCAUGCCUACAUGUGAGCUAGAGUGGAUUCUGGUUCGGCGCCAGACAUCACCAACCUUCAGUGUUCUCAUGUGAAACGAUGAUGCUGUAGGCAUGAUAGCAGAUAUAUCGUGACCUGCAGCCUGCAGAUCCUGCUAUGUGCCUACACCUGGUUUUCCACUCUUCUCUGUAUCUCCCUGGAUGUUUUUGAUAACAAUGAAUUAAAAUCUGGACCCAUGCAUGCUAGUGUCUACUCAUGUGGGUCUCGUGGACAGAAAGGCUGAUCCCUGUCAUGGGAGACCGUGCCUUUGCUAGGUGGUUUGUAAACUGAGCAAUCCUUGAAUCAUUUACGUGGGCUCUGGGGGUAGUUUCCAAGCAUGCUGCAGAACCUUUCCUUACACAUCUAGGGGCCUCCUGGCCUGAGAUGCCAGGACCAGCUUUAUUUAUUUCAAUAAAUUGAUUUUUUUCAGAUAGAAUUUUCAAAAGUAUAGAUCUUUAAAUGCACUUCAUGAAAUGACUGAAUUUUCUUCCAUUUAGUAGUAUUGGACAUAGCAGAAAGCUUGUUCUUAAGGAACAUUUCGAGAAUGAACCUUUUAUGUGUUGGUUUAAAGUCAUAUCCUGUCUUUUUAAGCAUCACCUAAUUUCGUACAUUGUCUCCUCCUCCAUCUAGCAUCAUGGUAAAAGGUGAACCCUUGAGUGCAGGAUGACUGUCCACAGAUACUUCUUUUACUUGCAAACCCUCUGCUUUCCUGGCUGUCGGUCCUCGUGGUGUGGGCAUCAGAGUUUAGUGCUCAUUGCUUACUGGCUUCCUCCUUGUCUGUGAGGGGAGAAUAUGGGAAGGCCAGGGCCCCUAGCUGGAGCUCGGGGUGGGCUUCAUACCACGGUGGGUGUAAUUACUAGCAAAGCUGUAGCCUGCUGCGAGAAUGCAGAAAAGAUGCUGAUUAACCAUCUUUGAAGAUUGUACUGUCAGUUUUGGCAAAAAUAUGUAAAUGUAACCAAUAUUAAUUUUCCUAAGUAAAGUGUAUAUAGGCAAAUGUUAGGACAUUGAGCUUCUUUCAGGAUAAAGGUGAUCUGAAAAAAGUUGUGGAGAGUGAUACGUUUGAACCUGGAAUUUUGCAGCCGUUAACCACUGACCUUGCCCAGAAUAUAGUGAGACAGUUGUGGCUGUGAAAGGUGGAAGUGACUAAAAGUCAGCUGGUUCAGCCAUUGCAGGGAACAAAGAUGUUCCUGUUAGCUGGGUAAGCAGCCACUGGCUGCCCUCAAAACAAAACAAAAACAAAAAAACAACUCCAGUGACAGACAGGGAGGCAGCAUCAGUGUGGAAAGGACAUCUUACGUUUCUUUGUCCAGGUCAUGCAUCCAGCUGCAAUGCGUUCUUCUCCUCAGAAUUAAAGAUAAAACUAGUUUUUCCCACUUGUAAUGGUGAGAGGAGUUGUACAGAACAUGCCUCACCUAGUGCCUGCUGAGAAAGAGCCUUCAGUAUGUGCCAGGUAUGGUUAUUCUGUUGUUGGAAAGCCCAGCUUUCCAAAUCUAGAAAUGAUUUGCAAACAGUUUACACUUCCUCCCUGGCCUGCUCUCAUCCUGCUGUGGUGUGGGGCCCUCUACCUUUCCACCCUGACAGGUGACAGAGGUCAGCUAGUGGCUGGCUGUUGUUGAUUGCUGUAGCUCAGGGCAUACUAGGCCACUCCUUUCUCCUAGAGACAUCAUGCUAGCUGUCGUCAUGGAUUUCCACUUUCUCUGGCAUGUCUGUCAGCCCCUCAAUGUUCUGUUCUGCUGUAGCCUGCAGGCUGUCCCAGCCCAUGUUGUCUCCUUAUUCUCACAGGGUUGAUAACUGCUUCUAGAAGGAUGAGCAGAAUGUCUAUAUCUGCAACUGUCUCUCAGACCUUCCUGCAGUUGCUAUGGAUGAGGGGGACGGAAAUAAGCUGGGAGAUCUUCUCCAGCUUUCCUGGGUUGGGUGAUGUGAUCUCUGUCUGUCCAUCCAUCCAUCCAUCCAUCCAGGCACUUGGCGACAUCGUGAAGAUGGGACCUUUUGCUAUGCUUUGGCUGUGCUGCAGUUGCCUCCCCACACCAGUCUUCUCCUCCAUGUGCAUUCAUUUUGUCACAUUGUUUCUAGCAUAUUUUUUCCCUUAUAAAGUGAACAACUGAUUAUGCCACUGUGUUUGCCGCUGCUGUGUGCAUUGGUAGCUGUAUGGUAUCCAGGGAUUUUUUCCUUAUUGAUUUGUCGGACUUCUUCAUAUAUCUGAACCUUAUUUUAUGAAACCUAGUCAAUUCACGUCUCCAAUUUGUUAGGGUUAGAUUCUUGAGCACAAGAAGAGCAUUAUUACUCAUAUAUGUAUUCUGAGUAUGUGUAUGUUUGAUAUACAGUAAAAGUUGAUUGAACUGAACUACAUAAAAGUCCAAACUAGACUUUCCAUACAAAACUUUUGGAAUUUUCUGUCUCUGUCUCCUGCAAAACUACUCUGAAGGUAGUUGGCACACCUCUGUACUAUUUCUUCUCUCCUUAACUGAUAUCUUUGAGGUGGUGUCUUACCCAGUUGAUCUCCUUAGUGCUUAUCAUGAUGCCUGGCACAUAACUCAGCAUUUUAAAAGUAAAAUAUUGGAGAAAUAUUCCUGUUAGCGUUAGUAGUCUGCCUGCCUGUUUGUCUGUCUGUCUCUUUUUUCGGUAACUGGAAUGAAACUCAGGAUCUUGUGCUUGCCAGAUAGACGCUUGUGUCACUGAACUAUACCCCUAUCCCUAGUGGUUUUUUUUUUUGGUCCAUGAUUUUCUGUUGAUGUAGCCUAAGUCAAAUUACUUACCUAAUUUAAAGAAUUGAUUCAAGGGUCACCUUACCUUCCUGCCCCCUUCCAAGGACAUUUUCAUGUGACAUAUGUAUGUAAGGCAGUUCUUCAUUAUGGAGUUUAUAAUUAUUUUUUAAUUCUAGGCAUAAAAUAUAAGAUAAUACCUCAGUGUGAUUUAAUCUUACUAAGCUUGUCCUCUGAUAGCCUUUUAGAUGAAAAAAAAAAAAAACCUAGAUUCUUGUACCUAUUUAUUUUAGUAUAUGCUCCAAUUUUAUACCUUAGAUUUGUCUAAGUAUUUAACUAAACCUGUCUACCAAGCUAAGUACAUUGGAGUAUACUUGGAGAAAAUUUGAAUGAGUUUUAGGUUCUGCAUAUGUGGCCCGGGAAAGAUUCUCACCUGCGUUAACAAGAAGCCAUUCUUUGCAAUGAUAAAUUUCGUAAAAAUGUCUAGUGUCUUUGCCUACCUACAUUGUGUUUUAUUUUUAUCUUCUGUAAUUUUAGAGAGGAAGAACUACAUUUUCCAGGGAUGAUGAUUAGAGAGCUUAUGUAUGUUUUAUUGACAAUAGUUUGUAGUAUUUUACAUUUGUAUUUGAAGAAAACAGUUUGUUCAUUUGUAGGCCAUUUUGCUUCUGUGUUGGAACUUGCUCAAAGUAAAUAAGUAAUAAAGUGCCUUCAUGGUUUUUGACCUUUCUACUCUAAAAUGUUAAUGACAUUAUGUCUCUGCCUUACCUGUGGAUUGUCUCCUUUUAAAUACCUUGUGCAAGAGCAUGGAGUGGAGCCAGUGGCAUGGCAGGGAUUUGGACUUUAUAUUCUUGACAGCAGGCUUCGAGUUUUUAACCAUAGGCUCCUCACUGGGACACAUUUAUUAGGCAGUCUCAGUGAAUUGAUAGCAAAUAGAUUUUAUUAGACAUUUGUCUUUAUGUAGAACAUGGUUACUGCUGGAAAUCAUUUUUGUGGAAUAUCAGUGGUCUAUUUCCUGGAGGAGAAAGGUCUGGUACUUUAAUGUAAAAUAUUUUUGUGUUCCGAGAGAUGUGUAGUCAAGGCUGAUGCACAGUGAGACUGGACUACAACCAAGACCUUGCGUUGCUGACCUUGUCUUGAUGUGCAACACAAGUUAGCCCAGAACAGGAAGUGAAGUGCUAACCACGCCUUCCUUACGAGAACUAUUUUUUUUUUUUUUGACCUUGAGUUUUCCCCCUGGGUUAAAAACUGUGAAAAGUAAAUCUAGUGCUAGUUGUUGCAAUUGCUAGCCUACGAGUUUGCUUUCUUGUGUUCAUGUUCCUAUUUUUGUCAUUAAAGCAAAGGAAGCCACACAUAGCUAAAGUGAAAGCCACUUCAAGGAGACAUCACAUGAAACAUUUGGAGGAGGGCGUUUAUGUGGUUUUGUUGUAACAUUUUAGAUGCAAAUGUGAAUUGUUUUGAGAUCAGAACUUUUCAUUUACUACUUUUAACCAUUAUCUUACGCCACAUGCUUAGUUAAGGUUAGCUCAAUUGCAGUUUAAAACUGAUUAUUGAAAAGAAAUUGCUGAAGAGAAAAAAGUGAUCCAGAAUUUUAAUGCUUCCAAGUCAGGUGAUUUGAGAAGUUUGUUUCUUGUGUCCAUGAUUGGUGAAUGUAUUUCUGAUCCAGUGAAUCUGCUUUGAACUGGGAAACUUGUAGGAGUUGCAAGUCCUAGACUUAAGUUUCUUAAUAAGAUGGGAUUCAGCACCUACCUGGUCCCUGGGAUUUCAAUCCAAGAGAUGCCAGUUUCCUGGUGGAGCCUCUUAUUUUGCUGUGCUUCUUUGUGAAAAUCUCUGCCUGUGAGAAAAUUUAUGCCCCGCUGGAUCAGCUUGGGUUCAUAUUUUCACUUUCUUCCCCCUGGGGCAUUUUUGUGAAACUUGAUCUUCAGUGUGACUUUCAAAGUUGUUGUUCAUAAAGGUGCUUGUUAACAUAUAGAAGAAAGAUUGAGUGACUUUGACUCUUAAAUGGAAGUACGGCUAGGCUAGGGUGUUUUAUUGACAGUUCUUGUUUGGUUCAUUUAUGUUUAUCCAAAAGUAAGGUCUUCAUGGAUUGAAAAAACAAAAUAUACAACUUUCCUGCUGUGUGUGUUUAUCUUAAUAUUUGAAGCCAGAUCUUGCCUGAAAUAAGCUUUACCUUACAAGGAAAUGGAGAGAUAUAACCAUGCUCAAUGUUUAUUAUUGCAUAGAUAGAUAAUUUAAAUGCUACAAGAUAGAUAAUUUAAAUGCUGACAAGUUUGUAUGAAAAUGAGUAACCAACAAUUAAACCAAAUAACCAACAAAUAAACAAAAUAACCAACAAUUAAAUAUUCCAGUGGAUCUAUGUGUGAACAAGGUUAAUAAAAUAUGCAAGAGACAAGUGUGGAUACUGUUUUUAAAAAUGUGAAUGUGUCUUGAGAAAAUUUUAAAGUAGGAGAUUAGAAUAAAGAGUGCUUCUUGUACGAAUUCCCCUGGAACGUGCAGUUCUGAGCUUCACCGUGCUCCUUCUGUACCUGAUGAGGGAGACUGGUGCACUUGUUUUAUGUUCAGUCUUUAGGAUUUUUCCUCUGGAAGGAAGCAUGCUAGACUCUCACCAGGUAACACACCUGAUUAGAAUUCAGUGGGCGAGAACAGAAGGAAGGUGUCUUAUGCGAUUGUUUCUACAUGUUAUUAAAAGUGGGACUGCACAUCAAUUGUUUCUUUAGGAGGAAAGUAACACCUUGAAGAUAGGCCAGAUCUUCAGACGCAAGACAGCGCUUCUGGAGCUGUUUUGUGUUCACUCACUGUUGUCAGUACUGUGCCUGUCACAUUUAUGUGUAUCAUGACCACAUGGGCAAAAUUGUGCUCUUUGCUCGUCCUCAAGGUUUCCAACUGUGAGGUUGUGUGGAUAAUCUGAGUCUUCUCCAGGAUGGUGAAAUUAUCACCAAUAAUGUAUAUUUUUAAAUGAUUAUGUAAUUAUGCUGCAGACAAUAAAGGGUACCAUCUGUUCUUGUUUGAAAUAUGUCUUUUGAAAGACAGCUCCUGAAGUGAUACAUUGCUUUUGAUGAUUUGGCCUGUAUUCAAGGUGUUACUUUCCUACUUUCCCUCUGAGCUGCUGUGUCCCUGGCUACUGCUCAAGGAUGUUGGCAAAUGGAAAGUGAGUGGGAAGGAAGUCUGUGUUGCUUGUAGACACCGCAAGAGUGUGUAGCAAUCAGAAGGGUAUUUGUCUCUGGGCUGUCCUCCUUUGCUUGUGUUGUCACGCUGCUAGCCACCUUGAGCAUCUGUCUCAGGAUGUGGCACUGCAGACCUUGUCGCUGUUUCUGGUGGAAUCUGGUGCAGAGUGUCAGUGUCAGGGCAGGGCAAUGGAAAGAACUGAGAUGGCGUAAUAACGGUGCAUCCGCUUUAAUCUUCAAGUAUUCCUAUUUGGGGAGUACUUUAACUCUUCUUACUGUCCUUACUUUGGACUCAUCUGGGUUAAAGUUAAGUUUAUCUUUAUAAAGUGACCUGUUUGGUGUCAGGAGUUUUCAAACUUGCUAUUUUCUAUAAUCUGCAAGGUGGUCCUGUGAGGUGGUUAAGGUGGAAACCCACUUUGAGGUCUGUGAUUUGGAGAGGUUCCUUUGCUUGUGACUCAGCCAACAAGUGGUGUAGCUAGGAUUCCAAAACAAAACUGAAGAUUUAUUUCGGAAAGUUUCAAAUAGACAUAUAAGUUAUCAGAAGAGGAUGGUCAGCCCUGUGUACUUACCCACAGGGUAAUUAUGGAGAUUUUACUACAUUACCUUUGUGCUUUUUUAUUCUUGUUUGUGGCAAUAUUUUAAAGCAGAUCUGAUAUGUUAUCAAAUAUACAGAUUUUGUUGAUGUGGCUAACGUUUUAUCUCACAUGAAAUGGUCUAAAUAUAGGAGAAUGACAUAGGCGACUGAAGAUAGAAGCCAUAUUUUUUAAAAAGAAAUGUCUAUCUGUGUUCAGUUUUCUUGAUAGCUACAUCUUAUUUAGUACACUGGUUGAUAAACUAGUGAUGGACUAGCUGGUACUUACACAAUAUUUACCUUGCCUGGAGCAGUCUGCAUGCAUUUGAGUUUCUCAGUUUACUUUCUCUGAUCAUUUCUAGAGGGUUCAAUUUGCUUUCCCAAAAUUGGUUGUCUCUUUUACAUAAGCAAAACAUAGUGUACAGUGCCUUGCAUCCUAUUGUCUUUUGCACUUUUUCACAGUAGAUGCAGCAUUGUCUUGGAGCAUGUACAGGGCUAACUAACCCUAACUCCUGGCUGUACCUCCACGUUUGGAGUCAGGCUCUGCAUCUAAGUACGAUCCUCAGGUAACCUGUGUGUUCAUUACAGUUUAAGAAGCUCAGGAUGAUGUUUAAACUAUGCCUCACAAGCGCAGCUGUAUAUUAUGGUCAUCUGGAAAACUUCUAAAGCCGCCUGUGCGAGAUCCUAGCCCAGGCCAACUGAAGCGCACUCUUCGCUGGGGCUCCAGCAGCAUGUUUUUGUUUUUUCCCCAUAUUAUUUUUUCUAAUGAGACCCAGAGUUGACAUUAAAAAAAAAAAAAAAUAGUCUCCCUGGUAACACUGCAUCUGAACACAAUGUCUCCUUUGGAAAGUGCAUCCUGAAACUGUUGCUGCUAAGAACUGGAGACACAGGAAUCCGUGGACUUGUCCUCAGCCAUCUUGCUGAUGGUGAUUGGUGAUAGUGCACACAAUAAUCCCUUUUCAUGCACCGCUGAGCUUCACUUGUCAUCUUCCCUGGCAUUGUGGAAUGGAAACGAUGCCCAGAUUUAUGGGCUACUUCUUAUUUUAUUUAUUCUUUGCUUCAGAUGAAAAAUUACUGAGUGGGGCAGGCAUUAUGGAAUACCAAAUGCACAAACAUUGGACCAAGUAUUGUUAAAAAUAAAUUCACAGAAUCAUACUUCUCACUGAGCUACAUCUCUGGCUCUUUUAAAAAUCUUUUUAACCACAACCACUGUGAAAGUCAGUAUGGAGAUCCUCAAAAGACUAACACUAGAAAUUCCAUUGAACUCAGCUAUUCUGCUUCUAGAUAUUUUCCCAGAAGAGUUAAAGACAUCAUGUUACAUGUGUGCCCAUGUUUAUACUGCACAACUCAUAGGAGCUAACCCUCAGAAGUGGCCUAUACAUGCACUGACAGAUGAAUGGAUAAAGAAUUUGCUUUUUGCACACAGUGGAGUACUAGUCUGCCAUAAAGAGAAACUUGAGUCAUUUAUAGGAACAUAAAUGUACCUCGACACCAUAAUGUCAGAUGAAGUAAAUCAGACACACAAGGUUAAGCAUUGCAUGGUUUUCUUCUGAGAGGAAUCCCAUGAGUUAAAAUAAAAUAACGGGAGUGAGGUAUGGAGGGAGAUGUUUCGCAAAUGGGAAGGGGAUCACGAAGUGGAAGGAGAAAGGAAGGGGAUGAGAAAAGGAACGAUGGUGUCCUGGUACAGCACCAACUGCCCAUGAGGCAUGUUAGCAUGGUGCGCUGCACACAGCGCCUAAUAAAUUAAAAGGGGAUGGCAGUCGUAGUCAGUUCUGCCUUCAGUUCCAGGCAGAUACGUUGUUUAUUGGGCUGAGAGGGCGCUCAGCUGAAGAAGGAAGUAGCUUGAGGACACGCGGGACCGGCAGGCGUGCCGAGCUCGGGAGCUGCGUGUCCUGAAGUGCCCGGUGUUCUGCAGUUUAGACUGGGCCACCGGCGUGGGUCCUCACCGGCCCUGUGUACUGUGGGACCAGGACUGGUUUACGAGGGGCCUUGGGUUUCUUACCUGCAGGACAGCACUCUCCCCUGGACCUGCAGUGGGGAGCAAAUGAACUUAUACAUGAAGGUGCUUAGAUGACUGCCUGGCCAUGGCGAAUGCUAACUCAGUAUUUUCUGAUACUGUUGCUGUUGAGAAAAGAUGGCAUGUGUGGAAGGACAGGCUUUAAUGACAGAGGGAUGGUUCAGUGGGUUCAGAGAGGGUUUUUGCUUGGGAAAUGGAAUUGCUGAUGUGAGUGAGGGCGCAGGUGGGGGGAAGGUGUGCCGAUGCCAGCUCGGUUUCUCCAGUGUUUUUUUUUUUUUUUUUUUUUUUUUUUUUUAACUUGUCCUGGUCAUCUUUUACUGUUGAUUCUCCCUUAAUCUGUGAGCCGUGAUGAAGCUGUUCACAGAAGGAAGCGGAAUGAGGCAGUUGCACUUCAGAGUGCAGAGUGUGCCCUCUACACCAGCCCCUGCUCAGUGCUACUUUGUGGCGGCUCAUGUUUGAGUUCCUUGAAGGAAAGGCAGUGGCCCACAGAGCACAGAGGCCGCCAGCACCAUCUUAAGCCCAGUGAUGCCCCCUUUUUUCACGUUGAUGAACGUAUUGUAAUACCGGUAGUGACUUCUGUGAAGUGCUUCAGGGCUGCCUGUAGGGGUGAAAUCCUGCAUCAGUCUCCAGCCGGGCAGCUCCCCUAGUUUCACAUCCAAGAGCUUCUUCUCUUUCCCUGGUGUGACAGACCCAUUUUGUAGUCCUUCUGUCCCUCCAGGUUCUUUACAUUCCCUGUGGAAGAGGCAGUGGAGAAACCUAAAUUCAGUCUUUAAAAUAAUGCCUGUCCCAAAGCUCUGUAGUCUUGUGAUGGAUUUGUUUUAAGGCCAUUCAGCAGAUGAGUUGCGCCUUACAGUUUUGUUUGAGGAGCAGCUGCAGAUAUUUCAGCUCGGGUGUGGGGGAAGUAGAUCAGACAGUUGGGGGCCAGUAAGGGAGGCCUGCAGCCUGGGCGGCCUUUGCCUGUGACUUCCUUCCUGGAAGAUGACAUUGUGCUGGAAAUGCAAGAUUCUAGAGUUGCAGCGAAACAGUGCCUGUCCUCUCUUUACCGUUUUUGGUGCUUUCAUUAAAUCCAUUUUAUGUGAUAUUUAUGUGCACAGAUACAUAUUAUGAAAAUAUAAUAGCAACUUUUAAUAUCCUUCAUCAAUAAAAUAUUUUUAUAUGCACUCUUUUACUUGUUUCUCUGAAGAUAUAUCAGCUGAAUAUCUUACUCUCUUAUCCCCAUGCUCUUAGCUUGCUCAGGCUAUUCUAACAGAACUACCAUCGACUGGAUACCUUAUAAGCCACAGAGAUGUGUUUCUCAUGGCUCUGGAUCAGAAGUCAGCAGACUGGGGGUGCUGUCUGGACCUGCUCAUCCUGCCCUCAGAUGUGGAAGGGACUGAGGGGUCUCCUAGCCUUUUUUGUAAGGAUGGUUGCUGAACCCAUGAAGGCCUCACACCAACAUAGCAUAGAGAUUUUAGGAAGAUGCAAACAUUCAGUAGUGGUUCGCAUGCAUUUUGGGAGAGGCUGCGAGAUAUUUUUUUUUUAAUGGGCAAGAUUAGGCCUGUUUGUAUUAGAAUAGAACAACAUGCUACAUGAAGAGUGUGACUGUUGUUUGCUUAACAUUUAACUAGGAGGCCUGAAUAUGUUCAAAAGUGCUCAUUUGACAAGGAUCCUGGGGCUGCAGUGGUGAAGGACAAAUGAAACAGAUUUUCUCUUCUUCCUUGCUUAGGGCUGCAGGAAGACUGGCCUUCUGCAAGGGAGAUGACUAUAAAUGGUCUUUGCAGCUGAGAUGCCUCUGAGGCCAGGACCACUUCCAGAGGCUUGGCUUUCCUCUUUCUUCAGAGUCAUGCUGUGAGCAGCACCUUUCUUUUGGCACUUGAACCCUGCUCACUCAACUCUUCUAUUUUUGCACAAAAUUAGAUUUUCCUCAGACUUGUCCAGUUGAAGCUUUGUGGUGUGUGGUACAGCCUGGUUCCCCUUUGCUUUUCCCGUCUUCUAGACCUGUGCACUGAUACUUGCUGUCUUUGGAGGUUUCCUUAUUUUAUGCCAGAAGACAGAAGAAUGUUCCUGUUCCUUGGUUCUUUCAUAGAUGGCGUAUUUGUCUGGAAGAAAAUUAAAAGACAGAAAAUUAAACAAAAACUCUUGUCAUCAGGAAAGGUGGUGUGACAGUCAGUCUUGUGGGCUCUGUGAUCUCUGCUAAUAUUUUUUCUUAUUAAUAUGUUUUUAAACCUCUAGGAAAAGAAUUGCUUUCCCUUGUUUUAAUGAAGUAGUAAUGUAUUCUAAGGUACACAAUAUUACAUUGUUCUCGUGCUUAUUUUUUCAAAUAGAUGUGGCUUACUGAAUUGUGUCGUUUUUUUCUGUAAAUGAUGAAACUCUGUAAGUCAGUUGUACCAACCCCCCUACUUUGUAUUUCAGAGUUAAUAAUUCAUAAAGAAUGUACACGAAGAGGUAAGCAUCUCUUUUUCAGUCUGAUGUUCUGGACUUUGUUCAUAAGUACUGUGUUACUACUUGUAGAAUACAGGAAGGAAACCGAAUUACAGUUCUGGGUCAUGGAGAUCACUGGUGGGUGUAGAUGCACAAGUCAUGUCUAUUGUGUUAGAUGGCAGAAGACAGUGCCGAUGCAGCAGGCUCUCCUGUGAGUGAAUUAAAGUGCAUGACACGGAUCUGGGCUUCAGCGCAUUGCAUACAGUGUGUUCCCCCACUGUGUCUCCUGGAACCUUUCUGGUAGUUGGCCUUACAGCUUGGCAGGGUCCUCCCAGGCCCGAGGUUCAGAGGGCUUCUCACCAGAGGCCUUAGUGAUCCUGAUCUGGCCCUGUAGGAACCCUGGUUCUCCCUCCUACAGAUGGGCCGUGUCUGCUUUUGGAGCAAGCCUGUGCUCCUGUGCUCAGGCCAGGCUGAUUAUCGGUGAGAACACUGCUUGUUGAGCUCAAAGUUAGGAUGAAGAGGAGCUGUGGAGCUGGGGGUACACCAUGUUUUGGUUAAGCUCCACAGCUGUAGGAGUCGUUCCUUGGACAGAAAGGUUAUUUCUUUUCACAAGCCACAGUCAGUCGCCUGGAAUCCAAGUGCCUUCGUGCUAGGAAUUCUGUACAUAACAUGGAUGCGCACAUACGCGCACGCACACUCCUCUGUGACUUCCACAAUGGGGAGGUGUCCCUCCUGUAAACCUCUCACAGAGUGAAAUUAUUGCAAGUGGAGAGCGUGCUUCACACAUGUAACGUGGAACAGGUAACAUGCUGGACCUCACAGCUCAGUAGUGUGGUUCAUUUAGAGCUUUGGCUGUUUUCCUCAUCACUGUCCUGCUCAGUAUCAGAAGAGUCACCUGUCACUGGCCAGGAAAGGUCAGAAUUCAGAUGGGAAGCAAAGGUCUGCACAUACGCCCUUCAGCAGACAGUGGGUGUCGUGAGUAGGAGAGUCCAAGGCUGUGCCCUUGUGGCCGGGUCCUUCUACAAAGGUCAUCCAAACUCUUCCUGGGCUGGGCCGGGGCCGUUUUAACAUGGGCUUCUUUUAGCACAUAGAUUACAUUAAUAACAGCACAACAUGCCAGUGAACAAUUGAGCUUUACUUGGUCACAUUCGUGGGAGCUGUUUUUGGGCAGAGAAUGUCACUCUCAUGCUCACGCAGCACCUCCCAUGUAAAUUACAAUCAAAUUUGAGAAAGGCUGCUUCUAAAAUAUUAUUAAUUGCAAUGCAUGCCAUUGUUUUUGUACGAUGGAGUAGAGUUUCUGAUUUUCCUCUUAGAGUUACUGACUUUAAUAAACUGGCUGAUUGUAUAUUCCUGAGUCUUGGAGAACCUGGAGAUGGGGCAGGGCAGGUUGGCAGAAGUGUCCAUGUCCUCAGUGUCUCAGCUUCUGUGCCCAUCUGUCCCAGGAGGCGGCUGUUCUUUCCCUUGAGUGAAGAAACUGGAGCCCCGUGGCUCAUGAACCUGAUCCUGGGCACAUAUGGUACAUAAAAUAAAUGAGACUUAGAGUUUCCACUUAGUCUGCACUGUGAGUCUUGGGAGCCUGUUUAUUUGUAUUUAAUACAGGCCAUGGAUAUACAUUUACUCCUUUAAACAAGUUUCAGUAAUCGAUAGUACGACACUCUGUGUACUGAAAUCACUUCCAGAAUACUCCUAGUGGUGCUGAAGUCAAGUUUUUCCACUACUUAAAGGCUUUUUCCGUGCCUCGUUCCUUGCUGAGAGGAUGUGCUGUUGACAUUACGCGCUGCCGCUGGUUUCCUGCUGUCCUCUCUGCGGCCCCUUCCAAGCCGUCAUGGCUGUAUCAGGGUGCGCUGUGUUGCCUUCACUGGGCAGCGUGGCUUGCUUUGUGCACCUCUUGGGUACAUGAAUUUGACUGGUAUGAGUGACUUGCAGCUCUAGAAUGUGCUGGGACCCUGCGGCUCUCAGUGCUUGCGAUGAGAGGGUGAGCCUCAGUGGGCUCCUUGCAGAUGCCGCACUUUUUCUUGGGAUGUGCAGAUACCCAGCAGAAAAAUGCUUUCAGUUACUUUUAUGCAGUCGACUAGCAGUUUUUAAAAAGUGAUUAUGUAAUUUGUUCCUCAUUAUUUUUGGGGAGACUCAGAACUUUCUCUUCUGUUGUUCAUUUUCAAAGACCAGUGUGCAUUUGCAGACUGGUAUAAUUGUGAAAGAGAAUUUUUUAAACAGUCAGUAGCUUGUGAGAGAUUCUUUCAGUAGGUGCCUGCUUUUCACAUGAUUUUACUCUCUUCAUUAUGCGUGCAUUUACUUCCAGUUAAAGAUCUUAAAGUUUUAGUUGAGGGGUUGAUUGUUCAGCACAAGUGGACUUAGGGUACCUGGAGAGGCGUGGAACCCUGUGCAGGGUGACUGCUUAAAGCUGCAGUUUUAAGAAGAUGCCCUGGCUUGCAGGUUAAGGGUUUAGGACUGGCUAACUAAGGAUGACCUCUGCCUCUCAGAAGUUCGCCUGGAGUCCGAAUGUCUCCUUAAUGAAGGGCCGUUUGCCUGUCACUUGUGUGAUUUCUUCCAAAGCUGUUUCUCUGUGUUUUCUCUCAUGAGAAAGACAGGCAUGUCUACUUUGAAAUUUUGUGGUUGGAGUUCCUAAAGUGUUCUAUAAAUUAAUUUAAGGUGAAUAUUUGGUGUAAGGGUUUUUUUGAGACUAGAUCUUUAUGAACUAUUGCAAGUUAAUAUAAUAUUAUAUUUUUUGAGAUAGAAUCUCGCUGUAUAGUUCAGGCUGGCCUUGAAGUUGCUAUGUAGUCCAGGCUGGCCUCCUCACAGUAGUCCUCCUGUCUCAGCCUCAUGAGUGUUGCGUUUACAGACAUACACCACCAUGCCCAGGUUGAACCUCUGUUUUAAAAACCCAGACCCACAAGCUGGGGAUGGAGCUCAUGGAUAAAGCAUGAACUUAGCAUGUGCACAGCCCUAGGCUCCUGGCAGCAAGGAGAAGACACAGACCCAGUGUGUGAAGUGCGGAGGCUGCCACGUGUAGUUAUAUUUGCAAAUCACUUUGAUGAGGACUACACAGACUGUUUUUUCCAACGUGAACCUCAAGAAUAAUACUUACUGAGUUGCACGUUUCGGAUGCUAUUCUAUCCUGGGCUUUUCACAAUAGUUCACUUACUGCCUAGACUGCUCUAAGAGGUUACCACUGUUGUCCCUGUUUUAUAGAGAGAGCCUAGGUCCCACGUAAGUCCCUGGAGUUGAUUUCCAUGGGAUUGCCCUCCUGUUGCUUGACUGUCCCAUCUGGGAGCCCUUUCCAGCUUCCCAGGGCACCCAGCAUCCUUCUGCUUUACUGCAGUCCUCAGAAGGAGGAACCACAUCAGCUGUGCUCUCAGGUGGUCAGUCUUGGCCCCCAAUCAAUCUCUGUGUCUCUCAUAUGCACACGCACAAGGACCUUCAGUUUCCGUCAUGGUAAAGGGAUGUGAUUUCUGCUGAUUCAGUCUGCAGCCAGGAGGGUCAGGCUCUUCCUCACAGGCUCCCUGUGAUUGUCAGAGACCCCAGGUGGAUGAGUGCCUGCUCCUCACAGGCUUACUGAAUCCCUGCUUUGGGGUGCCACCCAGUGUCAGGAGCAGGGUGGGUGAGGAAAGUGGGAGCUGGCAGAUGGCCUGGGUCACCCCUCACAGUGCUGAGCUGCUUUUCUAGGCUUUGACCCUCAGUAGGUGCGCUCCAAAGGAGAAGGGUUCUUGGGAUCAGUUCCUUGCAUUUUGCCUUUGUUCAUCAAUCAGCUGAAGUGGAUGUUUUUGAUUAUUUUGACCCUUGUAUUCACAGCCAUUAACAAAUGUAAUAGUUUAAAAAUAUCCAAACAAUGUAUAUCUUAUAUUAUCUUACUUAUACUUAAAAUCUUGUUAACUAAAAAGCCACAGUAGACAUUUGCUUAUAAGAAAUCACGCUGUUUUCUAGGAAGUUUUAGCCUAUUUAUUUAUUUUUGGUCAGUUGAUCUACAGUAUCUCUCUGUAGAUCAGGCUGGCCUCAACCUCACUGUGUAGCCGAGGCUGGCAUUGAACUCACCACUGCCUUGAACUAGUGGUACCCUUCUGUAUCAGCCUGCAGAGUGCGGGGAUUGCAGGGCCAGCUUUCAGUCAGUUCAGUGGGACUCUGAAGCAGAUAUCUGUGCAGUGGGAAUGGCUGGUGAUUCUGAAGACAUUAGCCCUGGAGUCUCACCACAUGGGUCACAGUCCCCAUGUGCUCUCGGUGGGGCUGACAGGAAAGGCAGUGGCCAGCAUUUCUCACAACUCAACACAGAACACCUGCAGAGAAGAGAAGUGGUACUGCUCUUCCUGACUGGCAUGUGUGCGAAUAUCUGUUCUUCUCCUGGGAAUGUUCGCAUGUGCUUUCAGGAAAAUCCACUUUGAAGGCUGGUCAGGGUGCUCUUUGAGGUGACAACAUCACACUGCGGUGUGUACUUCCACCAUUUUCCCGGACCUGUGUGUGUGCACAGCUGUGUCAUGCACACUUCGUCCCUGUGCCUGUUGUCCUGUGUGCCUUCUGCUCUGCACUUGCAGUACUGAUGCAUGCUUUACAAUUGAUCAUUAAAUUGAUAAUUAGAGAUGUUUGAAUUUCCUUGGUGAAUGACUGUACAGCUUAAUUUUUCCAAAUGAUGUUUUACUGAUGGAGCUAUUUUGAUUAACUUUUAAAAAGUUUUUAUAGAACAAUACAUUAACAAAAAUGAAUGACCACUCAGCUGAUUUAUCAGUGAAAGUAAUUCACAAGUGUUAGUUUUUUAAGAAAGUAAAAAUAGGAUUCUAAAUAUUUUGUUUGCUCCUAGUACUUUGCUUUUAUAUCCUUAGUUAAAAUCUCUUCUCCCAGGUGAAUUUUUCUAACUUUUUCACCACAAAACAAUGUCCAGAAAGUUCUGGCUUCAUGUCUUACACUAUGUCAUUCAGUGUGUAGUUGAUGAUUACAGUGUCAGUGAAAUGGGACUAGGUGUGAAGAUCCAUUUUAUGUAAUUGCUAUGUGUGCAUUAUGUAAUAAAGUAUGCUACAUGAAUGUGCAUUCUGUGUGUGUUCAGUUCAGAUCCAAGUACAUGAGUCUUUUUAUGCUUUUAUAAUACUUUUUAUCAUCCAGAUUGUUUUCACAACUGCUUGUAACUGAGUGAAGUACCUGUGUCAUCUACCUAGAAAACAACUUGGCGGAAAAUAAGCCUUGUUAAGUGCCAUGGUUCUGUUUAAAUGAUGUAUUAAUGUAAAGUAGGAAGUGGUGGAGAAGUGAAUCUGAAUAACUUGUAAAUGGGUUUUCUCCAUAACUUCUGGAGGGGAAAGAGAGAAAUUCACAGGGAAAUGGUCAGCUGCAGCCCACACUUCAUCUUCAGAAGACCUGAAGCAUUCCGAGCCCACGGCAUGUCAGUCUGGUGCCAGACAGCAGCAGAACUCAAGGGGAGGAGAAGCCGGGACACAGUCUGUGACUGCAGGAACUUACCACAUUUUUAUGAUUUUUAAAUACCUCAUUAGGUAAAUAAGAUUAAUACUCCUGAGCUGAUAGGGCUGGUUGUAAAGAUUAAAUUAGGUAAUAAAAAGAAUGGGCUCAAUGUCUUUUCACAAAGGAGAUGCUCAAUGGCUUUAAUUCUCUUGCUCCAGAGACCAAGAGAAGCAACGUGAAGGAAUACAGUAGAAGAACACAAUUGAAUAUGUGGGCUGUGUUUUCAUAGACUUAAAAAACAUUAAGUGCUCUCCCAAAAUUAAAGCUGUAUUUAUAGUCAUGGGUAGAUAAAUCUUGAAAUGAUGCAUUGUCCAUUGCAUUGCUGUGAUUAUUAACGUAAGUGAGAAUUAACUAACUCUUGACUUUUUAAAUUAGUCUCCUAGCAUAGAGGUUAUAUUUUUCAUAAUUUUAGUGUUUGUUUCAAAAAUAUUUUAGUAUUUUUUAUUGUCCCAUUUCAUGUUAAUUAUAUUUUCUACAUACAUCUUUAAGAUCACGAAUUUCAAAUGAUAGUCCCUUUUAAAUAUAUUAAUUUAACUAAUUCUUGUCUUGCCAAGUAAACCCAGAAGUUUUUAAAAAAUUUGAACAAGAUCUUUAAAUCAGAAAACAUUUAUACACUACUUUCACUUUACUAGGUUUGGUCACAGAUUUUACUAUUUGAAAGCAAUUUUUUUUCCCAGCAAUUUUUAAAAUUGAUGUCAUAAUUUUUUUUGUAAUAUUAAUUUUCAAACCAAACUUUUAACAUGGAGUAUAUAAUUUAGUUUUUCUGUUCUUUACACAAGUACCAUGUUUUUUCGCAAAAUAUUUGAGUGCAUAUACGGCCAUAUUGAUAAUUUUUGUGAGCUGAAAUGAUCAUUAUUAAAAUAGAACAUAAUAAUAAUUGGCUAGUGAGAAAUAAUUUUUUAAAAAAUUUUAAGUCUUUCCGUUUUUUUGCAGCUUUGUGCUAAUGGUAGGCAUUUAAAAUAUCUUGGCAGUGAAGAACAUACUUCUGUGUAGACAAACAGGAAUUUUAAUCAUGGGCAGUGUUUCUUUUAUUAAUGUGAAUGUAAUGAUGAGUAUCUCUGGAGUUCGCAGUACAACUGGCAUAGUUGAACUGAAGUGUUAGGUAAGGUAAUAAUGGGCUGAGUUUUCUUAAUUUACGUAGCUAAGCAGUAUUUUAUAUCCCGGUCUUUUCAUAGGAAAUGUUUUAUCAAGCUGUCUAGGACAUAAAUAAUUAAAGUAUUUGACUCAUUAGGAUAACUUGAUAAAUAUAUGCUUUCUUUUAAAAGUUGGGCAACAUGUAGCUUUUUAUUAUUAAGUCAGUGUUGGAAUGUUCUCGAGAACAAGCCACUGAAUUCAUUGUUCUAGGCCUGGCUAUCUCUGGGUUCUGACAGCUAACUAUGCUCCUGUAGGCUACAAAGAGAAUUGGCAUGCAGAAUCAAGUCAGUUCGUAUGCAGGUACAGCUUAAUUUCUUUUUAAAAAAUGUACAAUUGGAAUUUUCCAAGGCCCUUACUAGAGAGAAAAAGAUAUAUUUGUAUAUAUUAUUCUCCCACACAUACAGUAUACUUGGUUAUGGUUUUAGAACAUGGGCUGUGGGCUCUGAUGUCCCUGACUCCUGAACCUUUGGAGUUCAGAUGUUCAUAAAAACUUGCAUCACAACAUAGCUGCUUGAGAUGCGUGGCUACUCCCACUUGUAAAUAAUCUCAGUCCUCAUAUUCCAUUAUUUAUGGCCCAUUGUCAUGUAGGAAGCUCCUUCAUUUAUAACAUCUCCAGGAAUAAAGCCCCUUCCAGCUGGGAGCCACAGGAAGCACCAAGACCAUCUUGGUGUGCAGCAUCAUCUCCCUUUCUCUGCCUUCAGCCUUAUGAAUCAUAGAUCACAGGGCCUUGUUCUCAAAGCAUAGAUAGGGAGCCGAGGAAGGAGAGCUGGGGCGCGGGGCUGGAAACUGCACACUCUGGAUGCCUCAUUCUGGGCAACGACUCUGCACGUGUGCACACUUAAUCUCAGGUGUGUAUGUGUAUACAUUUCAUAUUGGAGGAAGAGACUUUAUUAGCACAAUGAAAUGCUUUGUGAGUCCAAAAUAACUGGCUAAUACAUUUAAAAAUAAUUCUGGAUAUUACAGUAAAGGGGAUUUGUGAACAGUCAAGUACUCAACAUUGUAAGCAAGUCUACUGGGUGUUUUGCAGAAAGGUGCCAACACAAUUACUAGCAUCAGACUUUCAAUUUUUCCUUUCCAUUUCUAAAAUCUAGCAUUAAUUCAGCUCAGGUAUAUUUAUUGUGGGGAAAAAUAGUUUUUGUACGAAGUCCUAUUUGCAUAGCCUGAAGAUUUUUGUAAGUGCAGUGUGCAUAAAAAUCAUGAUAAAGCUUGAUAAAUUUUAGUUUCACAUUCCAGGCCAGACUUCUGGUGCAGGAAUUUUGAAGAGCAUCAGCUGAAGUCUGUAACACACAGGCACGCAUCAUUUCAAGAUGUGUUUAGUUGUUUUGCCACACACCCAGUAGAUGAAAAGGCUAAACAAUGUGUAAGAUGUAAUUAAAGAAUUCUCCCGGACUGCUCAGUUGUAACUGUGUUUUCCUUAUCAUUGCUUUUGGAUAACAGAUUACGUAGAUUCAUAGUGAGGAUUCCCAUCCUGAAGUGGCAGGUUUUGCAGUUCUAACUUAAGAUUGAAUUGUAGUGUACAUGGAACUUUAGAAAAAGAAGAGUUAUCCCCAAAAGAGCAGUGAAUACUUGGCAACUCUGAUCUGUGGAGAAGCCCUGAACACUGUGUCUGACUGGAGAAGCUUCCCGACCCAGUGCCCACUGCCCUGAGCCUCCCGUGGGGUUGGGAAUGUAAGGGAAGGUGUCUGCCAAGAGAGAGUUUUAUAGGUGACCAUCGACUAGCUGUUUAAUCUUUGGACCAUAUGACCAGAUACAUUUACAGUCUAAAGACAGUACUCAUUCUUUCUGUACUUCGGUGACUGGGCUGAAGAGAACAUCUUCAGGAAGUUAGUUGCUCUGUCUGUGUGAAUCGGGCUUUGACACAUGAAGCCUCUCUUUCAGCAGAUGUGUCAGCUCUGAGGACACGCCCCAGUUUGCUAGGUUUCUGUGGCCAAACUGCAGUCUCAGAAUCUUUUCUCAGAGGCAGAGCUCCAAAUGCUGGUAGUGUGUCAGUGACUCACUCUCAUCUUCAUGCAUUCUGUGCCCAAGUUCCUGGGGACCAGGAAAGGCAAGGCUGUCACCUCCCACAGGGACCUGUACAGGGUCACGCAGGGUGGAUGCUGUGUUGCUGUCUGUCAGUGUAGCCAUCUCCUCACCAGGUGUGGGUGCCAGUCUGAGUGCCUCAUCGAGACAGCGGACUCCACCUCAGAGCCCAUGGUGCAGGGAGCUCAAGCUCUUUGACUGGGCGGCAUCACUCGGUGUUAGAUGGCACUGACAUCAGAGGUACUUACCAGCGUGGGCCUGAAGAAGAGGUGUUGCAUUGAUCCUGUGCAGGUGUUCUGACCUUAGCCAGCUGGGCUCCAGAAAGCGCUGUGUUGUGCCCUGGCUGUGCUCUGUGGCCGGCCGUGGACUCUUAAUUGUUUCGCUUAUCUGUGUAUAAUGUUUGCUUCUUAACUGAGGCAGCUGCGAUAACUAAAGUAGAAGUGAAAGCAGAAGACACCUUGUCAGACCUAGUGGCUUCUCUGAGGUAAGGAGGUGGCACUUGGUUUCUUCUGGCAGUGCUUUGAUGUGUCCCUUGCAAACCUCCCUGAAGCCCUGUUUCUUAUGCAAGGAGGGUCAUGCCUCACGAGUUCCCAAGGUGCAGUUCAGUUAAUGAUAGCCGAGCAGUUCUGAAAACCCUUCUUUGGCAAGGAAACUGAGCGGUGCCAUUCCAGGGGUGGCAGGGAGAGUUCACCUCCUUGCACUGAGGAGUCCUUGCUUUGUCUCUGGUAUGGGGGAGGGGGACAGUGCUCCUCACUGCUGAAGGAAAAUGUUCUUUUCACAGCGGGCAGCAUUAACAAUUUCCACUUGCAAAUAUCUGAUUGCAGAUGAGACCCAUUACUUAAAUGUACCUUUCUUGCAAAUGGUAUCCUCUCGAAGCACUGUGUAAAGCUUUCAAAUUAACUGGUAUAAUUGGUAUAAAGUUCUAAGUACUGAAUAAACUAUGCAUUUCCAUCACUUCAGAUUCUCUGAGCAAAUGAUCUUUUUUGUGAGUCAAAAAACACUUAGAAAACUGUUUGUUAGGCUAAAUGUAUUUGUUGUAUAUAAUGUGUAGAUUAUUAAAACACUUUUACCAUGACAUGACACAAGAAGGGAUGAAAAACUUCAUUGAUUCUUUCUACGCCUCCUUAAAUAACUUCCACUUUUAAAGUACAAAGAUUGUCACAAAUGAUUUCAUUCUGAAGCUGCCCUCAAAUACAAAAGUUUGCUAUUACAAGUUUCAUUUUAUCUUGCUUGAAUUCUGUCAACAUUUAGUUUUUAUAUGAAAGAAGAAUGGUCCUUAGAAUUUCUCCUCCAUAUUUUUCUAGGCUUUUUCAUUAUUAGCCUGGUCCAAUUAAGGCAAAUACUAUAAUUCACAUCUUAAAUAUUUGUUGCUUUUCUGGAAAGCUUCAGUUAUGCUUAGAAGUAGCCAUUGCGUUCAUCCCUGUGUUCUCCCUCUGGCAGCAGUAGCUCUGGGGUUGCCUGUGUGCUUGUCCAGAGUUGUGGAGGAAGUGCUUUUUAUCUCUUUUGAAACACAUGACUAAAAACAUUAGAGGAUGAGAGGAAGAAAUACUCACACCUUUUAUGGUCUCAAAUGGGUUUCAGCUUUAGCAUUCACUGAGCAAACAGCUCCCCUAUUGAGAAGCAGACAGCUUUCUCCUCUUGAAGCCCAGGAACGCUUUCUGGUCCUUCCAAGCCACUGGCAUCAUCUGCCCUGAUUUUAGAUAAGCAAAAUAAAAUAAACAGACUCAUGGCCACUUGGGAACUGGUUCUGCUGCCUCUUGUUCUAACCCUGCGAAGCCAAGCCAGCAUGUCUCCCAGGGCCUCUGAAAGAUCUCAUUGUUGAUUUACUGUGCUGCUGGCCGUGCCCACGGCUUCACCCUGCUCCACCAUCGCUCACUGCAUCGUGAGUUGGCACAGCCACCGCCUCAAGGGUCCAGUGUCUCCCUUAACUUGGGCCCAACUGGCCUGUUUCAAGUUCUGCAGUCUUAAGAAUUAUUGUACGUAAAAAUAAGGGACGCUUAUUAGAGAUUUUUUGAAUAUGUUUUCCAUGUAAAGUGUAAGAUGAUGGAAGAAAUGUUGCUGUCUUAUUCUUUUAUUUUUGCAUUCGUAAAAUGAAAUAAGUAUAGAGUGAAGGACUUGUAGAUUAACUUAGUAGUACUAAAUUUUUAGUUAAGGCCUAUUAGAUAUGUGAGUGUAUAUAUUGUUCUUCAGUUUUGAACAUAAUUCUGUUAAAAUUGUAACACAGAAUUAGGGAAUUGGUAAAACACUUUAGAUGAGCAAAUCUAAACAAUUCGUAGUAUUCCAUGUUCAGAUUUUUAGUGCAUUAAUUUUAGAAAAUAAAUUAUUCUGUCUGUAGAAAUGAAAUUAAAAAUGAAACUCUAAGGAAAUGAAAGGAAUUAAAAUUUACAAACUGAGGAGGAGUAUUGGCACAGAAGUGGGUAUCAUUAGACAUAAUCUAGCAAGAGGUUCUCUAUAUAAUGAGCCUUACCAAGAUGAUAGCACAACGUUUCAAUUAAAUAGGAAAAGCAUGGACCAUUUAGUAUUAUGCUGUGGCUACUGGCCAUAUUUAACACCAUAUAUAGAAAGCAUUCCCGGGUAUUAAAAGUGUAAAUAAAGUUCAAAGACAAUGUAAAUAUAAAUAUUAGUAUACGAGACUGUUAGUAAACUGUCUUGAUGGAGACAUCUUUAUAAGCCUCUGAAAACUGUAAUUUACAAAGCAAUUAACAAAUUUAGUGGCAUAAAAAGUAAGCAUUUUCAGUGUACAAAAGUAACCAUAUGCAAAAGGAGAAAAGACUAGCAGAAAAUACUAACAAAAUUCUCAACAGAUGAGAGGACCACCAUGGAGAGUCAUGUCCAUUUCCAUAAAUGUCCAUCUGGAGUUGUAGAUGGAGAUAUGGAUUCGAACUGCAACAUAGCCUUGACUAACACUCAAGCCACUUUUAAGGUCACUCCCAGUUUUUAGGUGAGACUUGAAUUUGGCCCUGAAAUUUUCAGCUUGACUCCAUGCUUUGUAAAUCUGCUGUAUCGUCUUUAGGGUGGCAGAGUUGCCUUAAUCAUUCUCAGAAGUCUUUGCUGGGAACCAGGGACUUCUGUCUUGUUGAUAGAGGCCAUGUCACCCUAAAGGUGACCUUGCCAGAGUCAAGGGUUCCUAACUCUGUGACAGUGCCUGCCAGGCUAUCCAGGUCUGCAGUGCUAACACCUUUAUGGAUGGUAUAGCAUUGCAGCUUGAGCGUCUCAGAAUGUUAAAGCUGUAGGCCCUACAGAAGAGGAUUCCUUUAAGGGACCUCAUCAAGAUGAUUGGACUGAGACCAAUGCCAGAGAUGAGCCUUCUUUCCAGGAGCUUGAUGGGGAGUAGUUCUGGCAUAAACACAUUAAUAAAUUCAUCUUCUUAAUCUAAGUCAGGGGCUUUCUCCGGUGUUUGUAUAUCUAUCUUACUGUUGCCCUACUGUAUAUGCAACAGAUGUUUCUAAGUCUUGGUUGUCUUUAUCAGUGAAAUGACUAAGGGAUAAAGUAUACUCUUUAGGAGCUACAUAACUUUGCUUUUAGUUUUACAUUACAUUUCUUUGAGGCUGAUAUUUCUUUAGAGUAUUCUGAAAAUUAAAUGGACCAAUUGUUGUAGAAAAUGAAUAUAACCAUUCAUGUGAUUUACCUUAAUUUCAUAAUUACCUAGUGGUUUCAUUUUCAUAUCAAUUUACUCCUUCUCAAAAAGUAACUUUUCUGGGGGAGGAGUGAACAGCAUGUUACUAAGGAUGUACAAAGUAAUAUUCUUCUAAAUGUGCAAAUCAUUGCUUAAAAAUCUUACUGUUACUUGCAGUACUCCUACCUGAGAGUGAGCAUGCUAGUGGCAUUAUUUGGGUCAAGAGCGACCAUAAGUUGGGUAACACUGUUCACUGUCAAUAGGCAGACCAAGUAGUAUCUUGUUACUUGCUGUUAAAUGAGUUAAGGUUUGUAGUUGCAGUAAAUCAUGGACAUUUGAGGACUUGAAUGCUGUUUUGUAUGUCAUGUUUGUAUGCAUAUAUUUAUAUGAGACAUUUUAUAUAUGUAGCACUCAUAAGAGUUUGUGGAAAGUUUUUAUCUUGCUGGCAUUUGAGAUUAUUUUCUUUGUGUUGAAUUCUUUUGAUUUCAAUUACAGACCUAUGAAAUGAUUUAAAAAUAAAAUCUUAGUCUUAAGAUUUCCCUGAAGAUGAGUAUAAUUUUGAUUAAUACUUUUCCCCUUUUCUUCUUAAAUUACCCAUAAGCUCUAGUAGAAACAAUGACAGCACCCAGAAUUACCUACAGGUCCCUCAUUUGGGGUGGUGGAAAUACAGUACAAUGUGGAGUGUGGUGUUGAGACCACCUCUAUAGGAAAUUUUAUGUCCUGUGUCAUAACGUGAUACAAAAUUAACUUAAAAACGGUGACAAAACUGUGCAGUCUUUGUGGGGCUUCUGAUCUCUUCCCUCCUGUCUAUUACCAUCAUGGUUUUGACCUGAUCCAAGUCCUUCUGGUGUCAGAAAAACCCAGGCCAAGACAUUUGACUGCUAGUUGUUGGUCCAAACAGGUUUUCUUUCUUUUUUUUCUUUUGGUUCCAGGGAUUGAACUCAUGACUGCGUGCCUGCAAGGUGGGCUCUUGUGCCACUGAGCUAAAUCCCCAGCCCCAUUACAAGUUUUCGACUAGUGUUUGUGACGCUGUUUUGUAACUUCUCACAUUUCAUUGUGCUACUGUGAUUCACAUUUCCUGGAUACUAAGUAUUUACAUGUGUAGUUGGAUAUCUUGAAUUGUUUGAAUAUGCAUGCAUGCAUGCUAAUUUUUGUAUUUGUUUAAAAAGUUGGCAAUUUUAUUUUUUUGUCCUUAUGACUUAGAUUAUUUGCUUCUCUGAAAUGUGCUAGCAUGCUAGUUACUUGCCUGUUUACUUUGCUUUUUUCCCCCCAUGUAUACUCUUGAUUUUGGAGGGAAGAGACCUCCUUAAAUCAGCUCUGCAGCCCCAGGCCAAGCCUAGAACACACACAGUGUUCCACGUAAGUGUGCUUAAUAAUUCCUUUUAAAGCACCUCUAGGACUCUGGUAUGAUGUUGGUCCUCAGUGGUAGGGAAGACAAUGUAAAUAUAACAUUACUGUCCUCAGGACAAUCACUUAGAUAUAUAGUAAUGGAAAUUAUAAGUGUAUUUACUCACUAUCAAUUAUUAGUGCUUACUAUAUGCUCACACUGUAGUGGAGUAUCAAGAGUAUAAAAGACAAGGACCCUUUCAGUAUUUCAACGAAAUAGGAUGGAAUUAUAAAAUUGUGACAUAAAAUUUGUGAAUAUUUAUUUGAGUGACUCGGAUUCAUUUCCUGUGUUGGUUUGAAGAUCCUUGCUACGUGGUGGAGUUGACAACCCAUUAUUAUAGAUGAAGUGAAGAGGGGUUUGCCUCUGUCUGUUUCGCAGGGGACUCUGAGUUGUUGCUCCUGCAGGAUGCUGAGUCUGUCUAGGGCCAAGCAUGUCUUUCAGACCCAGUGGAGGUGCCGACCUGGGCGGCACUCUGGAUAGCAGUCACUUAGUAGAGUCGCUCUUGCCUAGGGAAACCCCAGUAAGACUGUGCAGCUGACCCACUGAGGUGGGCAGAGCCAGGGAUCUGAGUCUUGGCCCCCUGCUUUCUUUAAGCUGCUCACUUUGCAGAGCAAGGAGAGAAAAGUAGACAGCUCCUGGUUCAAACAGAAGGGGCAUUAGCCAAGGCAUCAUGAUGAGGCACGGAAAGAGAGUCCAGACAGCCCUCCUCAUUUUACUUAAGUUGAUGGAAGGAGUACACAGUGGCCCUUGGUAUCCAGGAGUUGCACAGAGGGUCCUCCCUGCCCAGGGAGUACUGUACUCGGGGCGCAGUAGAUAGCAGCUUCUGUCACAGGAGGUAUGGUCAGAACACCAGCAAGCAGUAGGCUGCACAUGCGGACACUACUCUGCUGGCCCUUUCCCAGGCUGCUCACCUGUGGGCCUCCUCCUGGAGACCCAGGCAAUGGGUCUGUCCAUGCUUGUGGUCCUGAGGAGAGCAUGGCAGCUUCUGCCACCUGACUUCCUGCUGCUGCUGCUGCUGUCCUGCUGGACAGCUGGUUCAGGAUGCUCACAGAGCAGUUCAGGGUCAGCUUUUAGGCUGGGCACAUGAGGCUGGCAAGUGAGCUGUGCUCGGGGCCUGGGUUCUCCCCCUGGAAAUAUGCGCUACUCCUGUCAGGCAGAGUGAAGGGAAAUACUGUUUACUAUGUGGGACAAAUCCCAUUGUAGCUCUAAGAGGGAGAAAGAAGAGGAGAAGUGCUCAGAGAACCUGUCACUUGCCACUGUCAUUGGCAGAAUGUAAUUAAUGCCUUUUAAAAGAAGAGACCAUAAGGACAAUUAUUGUUUUUUUUUGCUAUUCUCUGGAGCCAUUUUUAUUUGAGUUACUAAGUUCCUAGAAGGGCUAUGCUGUAUUUAAUCAGACACUAAGACUUUUUAGAAGCUCUAAGUUUAUGGAUGUGACUCUAGUAUGUUCUCAAUAACUUCAGAACACUUCUGUGAUAGUUUGACUGCAGAUUUGAUGAAGAGUUAGCAGUGACUUAAUUUCAGCCCUAAUACUAAAUUUCUAAGAUGGGUGUAUCAGUCAUACUCAUGUAGGCAUAAGUGUAAAUUUUGCACAUUUGCAAUAACACACUUCAGACAGGCUUUUCUGAUUGAAAAUAAAGGAAACAGAGUAAUCUGAAGCACUCUGGAAAAUAAACCUGUGAUAAAACCCUUAAAUAAAAUGACACAGCCACCAAAUUUUAUAGGAGCUGUGAGGGUUUGUCUUUGAAGAGAGAAUGACAAACUCUUCGUUGCCUCCUGGUCUCUGAAAAGCUGUGUCACAGCGAGGGGUUUGUGCACAGUGGUUGUGCUUUCCUUGCACUUCCUCACACAGCAGCUGAGGAGCUGAGGAUGAGCCAGAGGGAGACCUGGGAGCAUUGUGGGCUUUAUUGGGUGCCAGGUGAGCCCUAGACUUCAGCUAUUUGCUAUAUAAAAUAGUGUACAUAAUUGUAGAAACAAACUGACUUCCUGUAGGUAUUGGUUAACUUCCUGUCAUCGACUGUGAAUGAGAUCUAAGUAGAAAUUUAAAAUGGGAUAAUGGUUUCUGUGAUUGGAAUUCGUUGGCCUCUAUUUGAGAACAUUUCCCACUUGCACAAGAGAGUUAGGCAGCUCUUACUCUACCACGUUUUGGUGUGUCCAUAUGUGUGUGUUUUUAAGGGUUUAAGUCAGUGUGUCUCCUCUUGACACAGUUUGAGAUACCUCACAACAGCUCCCCCAGAAACAAAGCAGAGUGCUUGCCUCUUCCCAUGUCUGCUAGAGAAGACGCUCAGUGAGAAGGAAGCAUUCUCGAAGCCUCGCAGACUUAAAGUUCUCCGUGGCGAGGUGGUGUCCUUCUAAGGAGCUCUCACUUUCUAGUACUGGAUUUGCACAAUCGAUGAUUUUCUUUUGGUUCCUCAGGAAUUCAGAACCAGUUCUGAGGAGGACUCAUGGAAAGAGUCAGAAACAUCUUUAAAUCAUUACUGUAAGUAAUGAUGGAAAAAAGUUAUUUAUAGAUUUGCUAACUAUCUGGUUAAAUUUAUUAGAGUUGACAGAGCCAAACUAUAAUUUAGGCCUUGAAGAGCAAGGGUAGAAGCAAAGUAAUCAUCAGAAGACUUGCCAGGUCUCUAUUUUGUUUUAGUUUGUCUAGAGGUGGACUUCAAUCAUGCGACGACCGACGGUACAAUGAGAUUUUGAGUAAGGGUAUCAGUCUCCCAAAAAGAAGAUUCAGGAAAUGCUACUUAGAAUUCCUUCACACUCUUAGAACUUGCAUAUGCUGACUCGGAUGUUUACACUGUGAAAUCUUUACAUAUAGUAGAAAAUAAAUAGCUACUUGAUACACUGCAUUUGCCUGGUCAUGAGUACUAGUGUUUAACUUAAGCAAACAUUCUUGUAAGUAAGUACUUGCUGAUGCCCUGGCCUGCCCACCUGUGAUGGUUUCCUUCUGGGCAUCUUGUGUUCUGAGACCCUGAGUACUUAGUGAAAUUAGCUUGAUUCCCUUCCCUUAGUAUUUCCAAGUGAGCGUGGAGCAGCCUGGAUAGCAUUCCAGACGUUGGUAGCUGUUGAAGAAGGGCAGGGGGCAGGGCCUGGCACCCAGUGGCUGGAGGCCCUCUGAUAUCCUGGCACAGGCACACUCCCCCUCCCCACAGGCUCAUCCAGGGCAAGGGGUGCCAGGGACACAGAACCCUGCCUGGGGAAGGACUGUUCUGCUUCUUCAUGCCAAAGGCCAUGGAUUUAUUUUCAUUAUUAAAACUCGCAGAGCCCACUCUUAGAAUGUAGUAGUACAGAGUUAACUGUAGCUCCUCAGGUAAGGACUAUAUUGAUUACACACAGAACAAAGUUAUUGCUUCUAUUUGAUACGCAAAUAUAAAAUUAUGACAUUGUGAACAAACUAGAUUUGGGAAACGUGGCUGUGUCCUGGAGUCCCACAGUCUGAAGGCUGGCAGGGGCCAUGGAGCUCUUCUGCCUCAUAGGGUCACAGUAGAGCCCAGGUACUGGCAGCUCAGAGCACAGUGUCACUGGAGGUGCUUCUCUCCUCCUGGAAGAGUGCCCAGGGUCGGGUCCUGCCCCAGUCCCUGUCCAGAGAGGGCUCCAAGUGGUACUUUCUGUAAUUUCCUUCUCUCUCCUCUGAAUCUGCCUGUCCUUGUUGAAAUGCUGUUCUUCCCGCCCUGUUUCACCUGAGGCUCACAGCGUGGCUGCCUGGUGAUGCAGUCAGAGCUCUGUCCCUGCUGAGCCCCUGGGAUGGGCGCGUUCUGUGUCUGCUGUGUGAGAGUCUGUGUCUGCCUGGCCAGGGGAGCAGAGGAGAGACUGAGUCUGUAGCCAGAACACAGAAGCAGAGUCAGGGACACUCAGCAAAGGGAGUAAGGGCAUCAAGUAGCCCUGGGUCAGCUGAGCUCACAGUGAGUGGCCCGUGGAGGGGAGGCCUGGGGUGAGACCUUGUCACCUUGCUGUGUGCAUCUGGGACAAAGUGGAAGGCAUGCUGCUGGUCUCCAGUGUGGUGGGGUUGGCUCCCUGGGGACAACUUGUGCCUCAGGCAGUAUCCCUGCGCCCAUGGGCAGGAUGGGCAGCAGGACAUGAGGAAGGGAUCCAAGGAUGGGGGCUGCAGGACCAGAGGAAGUAAAGACUACAUGCCCCCUAAUACUCACCCUGCCCCUCUGAGCCUGGGGUGCCAAGGUGUGGACCCCACCUGACCAGUGUCCCUGAACCCACCGCAACAGUCAUGACUUUUGACGAUGGCACCAGCAGCAAUAGCACCCAAAUUUGAAUGAAUAGAGAGCAUUGUGAAACGGGGUGAGAUUUGGACAAGGUGGCCUGAAAGUUGAUUUUUUAGUCAUUAAGUGAUGGUCUGUAAAUAGCCACCUACAUCUGGGGAAAAAAGAAUUACUUCAUAUUAUAGAUGGGAUUUUUGAAGGGAGAAACACUUGGAGGUAAACUAAAGUCAGUAUUCACCAUAGGAGAAGAAAAAUACUUUUUCCACUUUAAAUCAUAUCAGCUUCGGGAUUAAUAAAAUUUCCUUCAGGAACCUACAAUGCCCUCGCAGCCCCACAUCUUUUUUCUGUUGUUCCUUGUUUGCCUUACCAUAAGAAGUGAAAACUGUGCUUAGUUUCAUGUAGCUCAUCUGUCUUUCUAAUUUUCUUUUGAAGUCUGACUAAGAAGCAUGGUGGCCGUGGAAGUCCUGUGGCCCUGAGUGGCCCUGCCAGCGGUGCUCAGGGCUAGACUCCCUGCUGCAUCUGUCCUGGGCUCCUAGGAGGACUCCUGAGAGCGAAGCAGGGAGUUGCAUGGCCCCAUUCAUAAGGGCCGAGGCAGAACCAGAGGGGACGCCUGGGAGAGACCUGCAGCGGCACCAGCCGCCCGUAGGAUGAACCCUGCUGAUGAGCUUUAUGCCUUUUGGGCAGACAGGAGAAGAUUGGAAGCGCUGUCAACGCAGUGAAACUACCAGGGCUAUAAACAGAUGACACGGUCCUUCCCAAAAGUAGAGAGCAGAAAAACUAUACUGGGGCUGGGGCUAUAGCUCAGUGGCACAGGCAGCUGCCUGGCAAGCACAAGGGCCUGAGUUCGAUUCCAGUACAAAAAAAAAAAAGAAUAACCCUACUUAAGUUUGGUAUAAAUGUUCUGGCAAAGUUGGAAGCUCUGGAAGGAGGGCUGCAUCUAGAGCAGAGGGGGCUGGCGCUGUGGAGCCCUGCGAGGUAGCCACAGGACAGCCGCCAGGCGAAGCCACUGAGAGGUGGGGCUGCAGGCCUCCAGGCCACCCCCCCUGGUCAUCGCACGUCAUCCUGUUGUCCAGGGGCUCCUUGCUCCCUGGGCUCCCUGGGGAAUGCCCGUGUUCCAGUCCUCUUACUCAGGUGCCGAAGGUGACAGGAGUGACAUUCCUAAUACAGGGCAUUUUAGGGGUUUCAGAUUAGAAAUGCAGCUGCACCAUUUGGAGAGAUUUCCAAGGUGUUUGCUAGCCUCUUCCUGCCAAGUGCCAUGUCCUUCUGAUGACUUUUAACUUUGUGUCACUUCUGUCUUAACACUGGGUUACACUUGGUUUUGUCUUGCUAGGGACAGUGUUGGCGUAGUUUGCUUAUCCAGAGAUUUCUGGAGUCAGGCUGGCUUCCCUCUUAGUGCUUUCUUAUUUUACCUGCCAAGGUGAUCUUAGAGUAUGAACUCAGGGUCCUUAAAAACAAGUACGGAAAGUAGGUACCUCUGAUACACACAUACACACGUAUUUGGGGAUUAUCUUCCAUUGCACAUUAUCCAUGUCUGUUAAUCAGAGUUGAUCCAAUACUUAGUGGUUUGCAAAUUGAAUAUUUAAUUGGAAUCUAGUGCUAUUUGAAUGAGACAUACGUUGAAUUCAUAAUUGAGUUCAUUCUUCAUGCAGAUAUUUAGUUUUGUAAAACGAAAGUUUUAAAAACUUACAUAUAACUGAUACAGCUAUGUGUGGAAAAGAAGAAAAGUAUGAAACGACAACUACCCUGGUGUAACGGUGGGCACAUCAGAGAGUGGGUUUAGGGAUCAGGAUUAUUGGCUGUGUACCAGAAGGGAUGUGUUUGAGAUUUAUCUAGAAACAAGUACUGCUGUUUUUAAUCCUGAAAAACAAAAUAUGUCAAGAGUGUUUUUACAUAGUUGUACUGGUACUGAAAUAACUACUGAGCAUUUUGUGUUCUUUUUCAUUCCUGGUAUUAUAGACAGGUAUGAACAUUUUACAAGCAGUAAUACACUAUAACUGCUAAAAAUGUCCCCAGUCUUCGACUCAUUGGCCCAUUUGAAAAUCAAUCAUGAAGAAAUAAUUGAACUGAGUAAAGGAGAUGUGUUACAUGAAGUUGUUCAUUGCAUGGUUAGCUAUAAAAAGAGAGAAAAGAAAUUGGAAGCAACUAAAUACGGUAUAUCCAAAAACAGAGUAAUGGAAAUCAUGUAGUUUACCUUAAAUGAGCAUGAUUUCAUCUUAAUCUCAUUCCGUGAGAAGGCAGACCUGCAACAAGUAUCUUACUAAAUCUGUGGAAAAUUCUGGAUUUUUUUUGUACCAGGGAUUGAAUUCAUGACCUCACAUUUGCCAGGCAGGUGCUUAUGCCACUGAGCUAAAUCCCCAAUCCCCUUUCUGGAAUUUUUAACAGUGGGAACUGCAGAAACACAGGGCAUAUGGAAAGGUGUCAGAUGAAAAAGCAGAAUGGAGUAAUUAUGAUACGCAAACUAUGGUUACAGCUGUGAGUGGAUGUGUUCUGGUACACAAAGAUGAAGGAGCUGUGCAGAAUAAGAUGCAUAUUUUAGACUGCAAGUGGCUUUUGUUGUAAAUGUUGACCCUGUGUGUGUUGUCAGGCCCAGGGCCUCUUUCAUCCUCAUCAGGGGCAGUGCUAGCGUUCUCUCCUUUCAUCCAACACAUCUGCUGUACAUGUUAUAAGGAUAUUUUAAUGGAGAUAUAUCUUUAAUAAAACUAUUGCUACAAUUACCGUGGAUUUGUGGAAGACAGUAGGCAAGUGUCAUUUAUGUUUUUAACCAGCAAGUAAGAGCUGAGCUGUUUUUCCUCUUUUUUCCUGCACAGAUGCAGAGUAACAGCCCUGCUGGUGACCCCCUCUUCUAGGGUUCCCACCUUGCAGCAAGACAGGGAGGAAAUGCCUCAAAUCAGAGGGAGGCAGGAUGGUCAGACACCACGCCGUGUGUAUGUGCUCUGUGUGUGUGUGUGUGUGUGUGUGUGUGUGUGUGUGUGUGUGUACAUGCGUCUGCAUGUACUCUAAUUGGCCAAGUGUAGAUUGGCCUAAGUGUAGAUUUUUUUUAAUUUUUAGAACUGUAUGUAAACCUUAUCUGGGAAAAAGGUAAAAUAUUUAGAGGGCUGCUUCUUUUAUUUUUAAAAAAUAUACAGAUAAUAUUUUUACUACCAUACAGGCAUCAUCAUGCUUUUGUAACUAACAUGCUUAGUUUUGCUUUUGGUAGUGCUGUUUUGAUACUGCUGCUUUUCUUCUUUAAAAAUCACUGUUUGUGAAUUUGUGUGACCGUAGGGUACUUAAAAAUUUAAGUGACCUGGCACAAUUAAUUAGUUUGUAUUUAGUGUGUCAUUAUUUUCAUAGUGAUAGCCUUGCAGGUAUGUGUGUGCACAUGAUUUUGAUAUUACCUUGGUAAAAUAACCCUCAUGUAUAAGCUGCACAAAGUAAAUUAAUGUAUAUUUCCUGAGACUCUCUGACACUAGCUGCCCCACUCUCCAGGAUUUUCAGCACAAGCCCUGCCUCUGUUGUGGUGAUUUGCUGCUGAACAGGUUUAUUUAGGCGAGCAGGUUAGGUGCCCCCACACUGGCUCCCAGGAGCCCUGCCUUCUCUGGAUUCCUUCGUCUCCUGUUUUUAUAGUAGAGUAUCCUGUAGUUGGUGGCAUGACUUGAGCUGCAGGGCAGAGGGCUCUUCUAAGAAGGUGAUUUCUCCUCAACUUGCCUGACUUCAAGGUUGGGAAGAACUGUGCAAGACAGCAAGAACUGUUUCAUUUGCAGUGUCUGAGUUUGCCUGGAAUUUAAGUUGCCACUCUUUAAUCAGCAGUGUAGCUUUAAAGUUUGUCUUUGAAAAACACUUACUGAAAGCUCAUUUAAGCACUUUCCCUGCCUGGAUUUAAAAAGAGAGGGGCAUUAGUAUAAACCAGCUACUACUGAUUCUUUUUUUAUGCCACACAGUCUGUGUAUUUUGGAAGGCAGGAGCAUCGAUGUGUGUACGUGCACUGACACACUGGGCAGGACUCUGGCCCAGGGCAUAAGACAGUGGGGUCAUCAAGACUUGUGAAGAGCAAAGGAUGGACCCCUGCCACAGCACCUGAGCCCCACACAUGCUGCAGAAAGCUGGACUGUCUCAGAAAUUAAAGUGUUAGCACUGAUUCCAACAGGGGCUCGUUUUUUCUGUGCUGAUCAUUUUCACAGAACUCUGUCAGGAAGGAAAGCUCAGCACCAAUAUUUUUCUAAAGAUUCUUUCUGGCUUUCUUUUGGUGGUGUAGUACUUUAUGUGUACAUUACAGGAUUCUUAAAAGUAUAUAUAAAAAUGACUGGCUUUUCCAAUUUUGUCUCUAAUACUUCUUAAAGCAUGUUUCAAAUAAGGAUAUAAAGCCAGUGGCUAUUUCAAAGUUUUAAGAUCUGGCCAGAACAAGAUAGGUUCCCUGAGGUAUUUCUGCUAAUAGCUAAAUUUUUUUCUGUUGGUUACUGGAUUUGAGAAAUGAAAUAUGGAUUUGAGAAUGACCUUUCACUUAAGCUUUAAACAUUAGAUGUUUAGUAAACAUAGCCUUAAAGUGCUGGUUUUCUUUUAAAUAGAAAAGAUGUAUUACUAUUAUGCACAUGUAUACAUAUACACACUUUUUCCUGUUAUACAACCUAAAACUGCCUGGAAAAAAUAUAUGAGUUUUCCAGUAGGGAAAAAGUUAACGAUGACUUUUAAAAGCCUGAAGGUUCAGGUCCCAGCUGUCGAAAGCUGAUCUGGGCUGCUGCAGUGAAUGUGUCCCUGGUGGGGCCUGAACCCUGUCGCGUUUGACAGCUGACCCAUUUUCUCAGACCUGGUUAAAGGAACAGGCUCCUUCUGAGCUCACCGUGUUCCCCUGCCACUUGUCAUGGCCAGCUGGGGCUGUUCAUGCUGAAUCUCUUACACUGAAUUUUUUAAUAGCUUCAGCCUAAGUAAUGAGUUUUGGAGUAAUGGUUUAAAUGAACCAUUGGUAACAUGCUGACACAUCUGGCAUCCUGCAGCAGGAUUUAGUGUUGCGUACUGCAGUGACGAGAGAUCAGCAGAGGCUCUGACUUUGCUAUCAUGUGCAUUUAAGUGCAUGCAGAAGCUUUUCUCUUUUACCCAGUGUUGGAAUUCCAUUAUAAUAGUGAACUCUAUGACUUCCUCCUGUACCAUGGUGUGCAUUUGCUACCUUUUGGCUAACUUCAGAGCAGUAAAUACUUUUAGGUUUGAAACUUGAGGACUUGAAUACUUCGUUAUCCCCUGUGAGGCAGUUCGUUUUUAAAGGUGCUGAGCAGAAGCCAUGCCACAGUUGUGCUAGUGUUUGUGUUCCUUGGUCUUCAAAUGCAUUUAUUGGCUUUGGCUCAUUCUCUCUACAGAACACAGCUUCUGCGAUGCAGUCUAGGUGUGGAGAUAGUGCUGUUUUGCCUCUUUGCCUUUGUCAUGUAACUGUGGGCCAGACCUUUGGUGGAGUGGCUGUAGGUUGUUGGGUUGUGCACUCCCAUUGCAUUCUGAUGAUUCACUCUGGCUUGGAUGAACACAGUGAGUCAGAGCUGUGCGUGCUGAUUAGCCAGGACCUCCCUGUGCUGACUCUGGGUCUUCCUGAACAUCCUGGGAGAGGUGUUUCCCAAGAUAGGGAUGGCCAGCAGUCCCGUGUGCUAGAAAGCCCUGUGUACACAAACACGGAUCUUGUGCUACAAAGGUCUGUGAAACCAUAUAUAUAUAUAUAUACACACACACACAUAAAUAUACAUAUAUAUAUAAACACACAUAAAUACAUACACAUAUAUAUAUAGUAUACACAUAUAUAUCAAUGACAGAUAUACGCAUGUGGUGUAAUAUAAAAUAUGGUGAAUGUUUAAAACACUAUUGUUGUAAAAAACCCAUUGCCGUAAAUUCCCCUCAAAAUAAUCCUCAUUUCCAACACAUUUAACCCAUCAUGCUUGCCAUUUACUGAAACAGUUUUGGAGUCCUCUUCCAUGAGUGUCUCUGAUUAUGCGGCCCAGGUCUGGAUGUCCUGAUUUGAUGAACAUGUUUAUCUUUCACGAUUAUUUUGACUUUGGGGAAGAGCCAUAGGUUGCAUGGUGCUAGAGCUGGUGAAUGAGGGCACACCGCGACGUUUUUGUGAGCCUGCCUUUCUGCUGGACGGUGGUCAGCAGCAGCAGUCACUGUAUUUUUGAUCACGUGUCAUGAAGACAAUCUUGAAAGAAGAUUUGCAGAACUGUUUCACAAAGUGACAAGAACAAUGGGAUAAACGUGCUCGAAGAGGAGAAAGAUUUUGAGCGAGAUGCGUAGCAGUGUCUUUUACUGUAAUAAUGUACAGCUAAUAGUCUUGGUUACUUCUUUUAAGUGUGCAUCAUUGCUUCAGAAGAUUUGGGACCCUGAUGUAUAUGAAGUGAUAAAAACAGGGCACAGUUGCUUGUUCACACUUGAGGAGCAGCCACAGGAAGACUUAUGUCCGCAUCGCUUCCUAUGUGCAGGGAUCAUGACUGUUGUACUCCCUUUGUUUGUAGGCUGAUCCUAUUAGAUGCAAAUCUAUGUGGGGGAAAAACAAAUACAUAGCCUUUGUGGAAGGGUUAAUUAGGAGAUCAUGAGUUCUUAAUGCUUGACAACAUUUAGAAAAGCAAGUAAUAUAAGAAUAGUUUGAAAAAGAAUGUCGUCAUUAUGUGCUCCAUACAUGUACUAAUAAAAAAUUUAAAAAGUAGAAUAAAAAACUAAAAAAAUGGAAUUUUGAAAAAAUUAUUCCAUCAUGUGAAUAUUGCAUGAAUUUUGAAGUCAUUGUUUACUUGAAACAUGUAAAUUCUUUCCAGAGUGGACGAUUGCCGAUUUCAUUGCACAAAGCUUAAGAUACUGAGUCUGGGAAUGGUGGCAGAAUCCUGUCUCUUGUCAGCAUUUGGAAUUUGUGCUUGUGAUCCCCCUCCCUGCCUUCUUCCCUUUUUUUCUUUCUCUUCUCUCUCUUUGUCUGUCUGUCUGUCUUAACCUGUUGCUUUAUGAAAAUGUGCUGGAAGAUUUUGCUUUAGCAAGUUUAAAUCUGUUGACUUAUGGGUAUGACAUUGUAAUCUCCAUAUUUUCAGAAAUGUUUUGUUACUGUUUAUUUAAAAGCAACUGAAUAAAAACCACUCCAGCUAUUCAGAUUUCAGUCUGUACUGAUGACUAAUCAGGUUGAAGGCUUGCACAUAAAGCUUCCAGAGAAAAAUAAAAAUUACAAUAAAAAUAUAUUUGUUCCCUGGUUUGAAAGUACAGAAUGUUUCCUGUGCCUUUAGAUAUGGGAACUAUGGCAUUGAAAACAAUGGUAACCAUGGCAAAUGUACCUACAAAAUAAACUGGAAAGGAGAUGGGGUGAGAGAGGGCAGGAGUCUGCGUGGUAACAGCUUGCUGAGUAAAUAAGUAUUUAAACUUCAUGCCCCGUUACAUGUGUAAUCAUGAGAUUUGCAGAGUUAUGUUGUACAUUGCUUUUUAGUUGGCAUCCUAUUUAUCUUGUGGUAAAUAACCUAUUAACCAAAUUUAAGAGCUGUUCCCACACAAAAGCUAGUUACAGGCUUUCUGGUUCUUAGUAUCUCCUUGGGUUCUUAUACAGGAAAUUGAAUUACGUAUUUGCUAUGGUUUUUCCAUGAUUCUGUGACCCAGGAGGCACCUAGGGCUGAUGUAAGUGAAUUUCUAAGUUUUGAGAUGAAUUAACUCUAAGCCUUAAAACCUUUCAGUGUACUCAGAAGUGCUUUAUAGAAUUUCUAAGAAGUUAACAUGGUACUUCCUGGUUAAGACCUCUGUGAGUGCAAAUACAAAAGAAGACAGAAAAAUAAAUGGACACAUAUAAAGUAAAUCCAGAUUCUCCUGAUUUCCAAACUCAGCCAGAUGGGCCUGGGGCAGCUUGGCCAGUUAGGACUUCAGUGCUGGUGGGAAUUACUUGUAAUGGUGGGAGUUUUUGGUGUUGGUUGGGCUGCUCUUUGCUUUGGGCUGCCCAGGAUGGCAGCUAACCUCUGCCUUAUGUGAUGGUGAGCACUGGGAAUGUGACCAGCCCAACGGAGGAGCUGGGCUGUACAUUUUUAGUUUUAAUUAAUUGAAAGGUUUUAGUGUUUUAAAGGUACGGUGACGGUGGCCAAGCUUUCCACCUCAGGAAGGGCAGGUAGAAGCAGGGUGGGCCUGGGACCAGGACUAGUUGGGAUCCUCAGAGUCAUGACCAGGACUCAUGCCCAGCCCGUAUUUAUCAGAUCACAGUGAGGGCUCCUAGGGAGAGAAACUCUUACCUUUGCGUGGGUCUGGUGUGUACGUUCCAGUCCAUCAGCUGUAGGGUGGGUGCAUCGUCCCAUGUCCACACAGGGAGUUGGGGACACUUCCCAGGGAGGCAGGAAGUGAGCCUGCAGCCGUCACAGGAGCUGCCUCCCACAUAUCUUAAAAGAAAUCUUCACCUGCAAGCACUGAAUUCCUAAAUUCAAAAUAAUCCUAUUGGUUGAUUUACUUGUGCUUGACUUACCUUUUUAUUACCAAUGUAAAAUAAAAUAACUCCAACAUUGUGUUUUGAGUAAAAGUUUGCUGGCUUGGGAGAUUGAUACUGUAAAGCCACAGGAAGGGAAUCAUUGAACUUCACAGCUAAGCGGAUUCCCGGUUGUGAAUCUUGUAUUGUAGAAGAGGGCACUGAGGGUUAGAUGUUGUGUUACCUCCAGUCACAGUGUUAGUUGCCACAUUGAGGGUGGAUGCUUGCUUUCAUGUAAAUGGGUUCUUACGUUAUUGACCUGCUAAAUGUGAAAAUGAAGUGUUUGAAAAGACACCCUGUUGAACUUUGGGUUGUGUGUGUAUUAUAAAAUGGUGCUAAAAUUGUUCAAGGACUGUCAGUAGUGUAGAUUUUUAAAAUUUAUUUACUACCAGGAAUUGAACUCAGGACCUUGCACUUUCCAGGCAGGUGCUUAUGCCAUUGAGCUGUUUUUAUUUUUUAAAAGCAUAAAGAGAUUCCAUGUUUGUGUAAGGUGAACUCUUAGUCUGUUCUUAUUUAGUGCAUUUGGAUCAAAUAAUACUUGAGGUGAGUCGAGAACAAGCAGGCAUUCAGGACACUCACUGGGAAUUACUGCUGCCUUUUAUGAGUAAAAUGGGCUGUUUGGGUUUGAGGUCUGUGUGCUGGAGACACCCUGGGAACAGGUCACAGUCCACCCCUGCCCAUCUGUCACACUGCCCUGGGCCCUCUGUCCCCUCCAUAUCCCGUGGACUGGGACGGGCAGCUUGCUGAGAUCUGAAGUUCUUUCCACACAUUAAUUUUACCUUAAUAACAGUCUUUAGAUAUGUAUUGAAAGUACAGUUAUUUGGGGUGCAAAAUCAGCAGGUAAAUAAACAGAGAAGCUGGAAUAAGAGAGCAGAGUGAGUAAGCCAGCAGCUCCCUGGCCGCACCCGGGUGAGAAGACCAGCAGCCCCAGGCUGAAGAACUUCCAGAGACACUGUGCGCUCUUCUCCCAUGCACCAGGGCUGGAGUUCAGGGCCUGAUUCCCCAUGGCUCUUUAUCAAGGGAUCGCAUCACUGUGGGCAUCCCCAUGGCUCCCAGAAGGAAGUCCUCAUCCUGCAACUGGUGAAGCCUUUCAGUCAUGGUUCUCCUGUCCCGAUCCUGUCACCUUUUUCCUGGGUUUCACGGUAGGAGAGGGACCACUGUUCCUCCUGUCACUUCCCAAUUCUGGGCAGCUGCCUCCUGGUUCUCAGGGCUUGCACUGCCCAAAGCACUCCCUCUGGAAGCUCAUUUUAACAAUGAGGCUGCAUUUGAGUGGCUUCGUCAGUGGGGCACUGUGCACGUACAGAGUAACUGCAGAAGACUUUGGAACUUGUCGUAGCCGAGAAAAUAGUACACUUUAUAUGUCCUCGCUCUCUCCUGGAGGAGACAGCACAGGCGAGAGAUCAAUGAGGCAUCGGCUUCCUAGCUGUGGAAAGCCUACCCAUGUGGUUAAUGUGUGUGGCGUGUGCUUUCUCCCAUUUCCUCCCUGGGGCUUGUCAUUUUGGGACUAAUACAGGCACAAAGACCCUAACCUGGCAAACCUGUCUCUGCUGUGUGAAGGCAAGCAUUUCCACUAAUUUAGAGGCUUUUUAAAAUAUAAAAGUAAAAUUAUGAAAGGAAGGGAAAAGUGAAUCUGGGUUGGAUGCUGAUUUUUUUUUUUUUUUUUUUUUUUUUUGUAUUGGGGAUACAGAGGACCUUCACACUGAGCUACAUCUCAGUCCUUUAAAAUUUUUUUAAAUUAUGAGACAGGGUCUCACUAAGUAGCCAAGUUGGCAGCUGGGCUCAGCUUGCAGUCCUUCUACCUUAGUCUCCCAGGAUCCUGGGGUUACAGUGCUGUGCCAUGUGCAGUUUCAUAUUUUUAUUACGUUUGAUUAAGACCAUGUGCGCUGUACCGUAAGUAAGAAUUUCAGAAAGUUGUGGAAGUUUCCCCUCUUCUUAUUCAUAACUAACUUAAUUUCAUUAGAGAACUAAAAUCAAACCAAAGUAACCCACAUAGUGGCUUUCACUUAGAUGGGGAGGGGCGAUUAUUUCUUCACUAGCCACCCGCCAGCUCUUUGAGAGCAUUGCUGCAGAAGUCCUAUAGCCCUGCACCUUCACAUUCUCUCCUCACCCCUUAGCAGAAAGUCAUGCUAAGGUUUUGCUGUCUCAUAAGGAGAACCCUUCCUGAGCCCGCAUUCCUGUCCCGCAGAGGCAGCCGUAUGCCCCAGGAGUCCACACUCCUGUCCCCAGCUCCCCACCUGCCUUGGCCCCCAGCCUGGGCCCUCUCCACGGCAGGCAUGCCUCCUCUACCUCCAGCCUGCUCUCUGGUCAGACCCAGGCCAGCGCUGGGCCUUGGCACCUGCCUUGGGCAGCAUUCAGCCCAUGGGUCGUUUCCCCCACUCCACCACCCUUCCCUCUGGUUCUUCGUUUUCUUUACCCCUGACUCUGAGGUCCUCUUGCCUUUCCUGAUAGCCACCCCUGGGGAGCCUCAUGCAUCCCUGCCACUGUUCACGUGUUUAUCUGCAGCAUGUCUGUUCAGAGCGCUGGUCUUGAGUUCUCAUGGAGUUGACACUUCCAUUCUCUGGCUCUUCAGUCCACAUUCCAAAUUCUGCUUCCCCUUUGUCCUUCUGGUCAGUAGUCAUGGUCUUUUUGAUGAUCAUACAACCCGGACAGGUAGCUGCAGCCCAGGGUUGUGGCAUCCAUGUGCCUCUGGCUGGCUCCCCACUCUCAGCUUGCCCACAUGCUCCUCACUUCCUUGCACUGUGUAUCUUGACAUGUCGUGUAUCUGUCCAUGGCCUAUUUCCCCUUCCAAGAACGUGAUCUAAAGGUGACAGCUUUUAUCCACCGUGUCUUGGCUGUGACCUCAGGUCCACAGCAGUGCCUGUGGAAGCCCCAUGAGCAUGCCCUGGACUGAGCACUGCAUGAAUAUGGUACCUUGAGGAUGGUGCUUUUCACCUUGGUUGCAGGAACUGGAGCUGUGAAGGCACUUCAUGCUGCCUCUCCUCGGAAGCCUGGCUUCUGAUGACUGCCUUCUUUGGGAGAAACAGCAGGCUUUAGCUGCUCAAGGGAAAUUUCCAUUGUGUGCCUUUUCCUUUUGCAGCUGUCUCUGAGCAAAUUGCUCAUCCCUGCUUCUUCUUGGAAUACUUUUCUCCUCCUCUGAACUGCACUUGGCUCUCCUAGACUCUUCCAGCUUGGCUUCUGUUCCCAGGCUCAGAUCUGCUUCCUGACUGCACAGUGCUCACCCUUUUUAUAGUAAAAAGCUCCUGGUGAUGUCAGUGGCCCAGCUGGUUUCAAUCAGGCUGCUCAGUGGAAGCUGGGAAUGACUCCCAGUUAGCUCUUGCCCAGCCAGGCUCAUUCUGACACCACAAACAUCACACCUGCAGCAGCGCUAAUCACUGGCAGUAACUGCCUGCAGGCUCAAGGAAGUGUUUCCCCCUCCUUGCUAGUGGGAUUGGGAAUGAGUGUGGGCCCAGUGUCAGGUGCUGGAUGCUGCCGGUGGUGUCCACCAAAGCAGGUCUCUCCGCAGCUCUCUUGUGAGCACUCGAAGCUAAUUUCCCACCUCAGACCUCUGCCUGCUCUGUUCCUCUGCUCCUGGACCAUGGAUAUACGUGUGAGUGUAGGUACACGUAUGCCUUGCCAUCUAUAAAAUAAAGUGUGCGUGUGGCCAACCUUUCUUUGUUUUUGCAGAUUAACUUGAAUUCUAGGUGCUUAGUUUUUGUCAUUAAUUUUGAAUCUUCUACAAUUGCUAUUUUGGCUUAGAACAUGGAACAGAUUUUUGUUAGUGAGGUGAUUGGCUUGCAGUUCAUUUGUAGGAGCGUUAUUUAUGUUACUAAGUCUGAUGUAAGAUGUUUUAAUGAUACCCUUUUGUUUUGAGGAAAAAAAGCAUUCUUGGGAAACUGCUCAGUUUUCAGAAACCAGACCAGUCAAAUGUAGUUCUGUUGGAAUAUGGUUCAUGUGGGAAGCCAUGGCUACAGGGUUAGAACCCUCACAGCUUCCAUGGUCACAGUGCAAAGUGAGCUUGGUGUCCCCAGGGGGGUGUUGGAGGCAUGGCGGACGGUGCUGCUGUCCAGCACUACUUUCUGAGUUACUGUCUAAUGCAGGAUGCUUUGAAGACGAAAAUACAACAGUCAUAAACUAGGACUGGCAUGCCAACCCUGGAUGCUGUUGCAGUGCCCGACAGAAUUCCAGGGAGGUCUGUGUGUGUUGGGGUCCGAGGAUUUCUGUGAAUACAGAGAAGCUCAUAUUACUUGCACAGCAUGCAGAAUUCAGAGUGGAAGAUUUAGAGCCCAGGUUUGAAGGAAGAAGUCUGUUUCCAAAUCACAGAGGGCAGGCGGUGGUGGGGGCACGGGGUCUUAUUUAGGGGCAGAGAGAGGCAGCGUGUGGAAUAAUAAGAUAGUAGCAGAGAUCUGAUUAGUGGUAAGAGAUGAUAAACAAAUUAUCUUUUAAAAAUUUUAUUUACAUAUACAAAUUUAGAGGUACAGUGUGACAAUUCAGUGCACAUAUAUGUAAGGAUAACAUCAGGGCAAUUAAAAUGAUCAUUAGAUAAAAUGCAUUAAAAACAUGUUCCUCUUUUGAUGAGCUUACACAUUGUAAAAAUUAUAUAAUAUUAAGUAAGUACAAUGUUAACUAUGUUCCAAAAUACUGAAUUUUAAAAUCAUCAUUAAAAUAACUAUUCUUCAUUUUUUUUAAGCAAUGGCUUUUAGUUAGUGUUCUUUUGUUGUGUGUGUAUGUUUGCUGCUAUAACGAGGAAGUAAGUCCGUCUCCAUAUAAAACAAGUAGAAUUUUAUACAUUGGCUGGUUUAGCUUUGUCUUUGGGGAGGAUACCUGGAUUUCUAUAGGGUUUAAGAAAAAUCAAGAUGAUCUGAGGAAGAUUAGGAAAAGGACUUGCAUGCCUGUGGUACAAAGAGUGUUUUAGUUUAAUGGGUCCUUGCUUUGGUUUCCCUGGAAAUCUGUGUUUAGGGAGAACUUUGUCAGACACUGAUGCAGACAGGAUUCUGAACCUUUUAAAUCACCAACAGGCAGAAACAAGAGACAGCCUGGCUGUGCCAGCGUCUUCCACUGUGGACACUUUAAAUAGUGUUUCCUUGGCUUGGCCCAGAGGGAACCAGCGUACUCACCAAUCCAUUGAAUGUUGGGUGAGCAUAUUUGUAAGGUUGUGUGUGUCUCCCUGUAGAAAUGCUGCCUCUUCUUUGUCUUUUGGUCUACCAGGAAUUGUAUGUGUGUGUGAACUGAGUGUGUACCCACUAUUCCAGGUAAUUGACAGGUCCUUGAGGAGAGAGAACACUUAGAAAUUCUAGCUUGCCAAGUUAUCCGAAUGUUAACUAAAUGCAAAAGAAGCGUUUUCUCAAAUUAGAAAAAAUUUAACAAUAAACUGUGCUUAAUAUUUGCCCAAAUGAACUGGAAACUUUAGAUCUAUACAAAACCCUGCACAUGAAUGUUUAUAGGGGCUUUAUUUAUAAUUACCAAAGUUUAGAUACAGCUAAGGUGUCCUUCAGUAAGUGACUGGAAGAACAAAUCAGUGUAUCUGUAUGACGGAAUAUUAACCCAGUGAGCCAUCAAGCCAUGCAAAGUGGCAGAGAAAAUUUAGCUGCCUAAUGCUGGUGAAGGAAACAGACCUGAAGCGCUUAUUACCUAGUCUGUGACUCCAACUGUGUGAUGGCCUGGAGAAGGUUUUCUGCAAAGAUAGGUGGUGUAGGAUCUGUAGGGUGGGAAGGGUGGCUGGGCAGGCGUGGGGAGCUGAGAGCUUGGGAAUGGGUCGGUGGGGCACACUGGCUCCUAGAAUGGCAGAACUGCUACGCACGGUACUCCCUGUUGUGGUGAGCAGAUGUCUGUUCGCACCGGAUGAAAGCUGUGGAAUGCACAGCACAAAUACAGACUCAGGACUUCAGCUAGUAGUAUUGCAGCAGCAUCGCAUAUAUAUUUAAAAUUCCUCAAGCGCAAACCCUAUUUCCUGAUAGGCAGUCGAUAUAUGAUAAAUAUUGGCACCUGGUGAAAAUGUAUGUCAUAGUACUUUGUAAACAAUAAACUCAGACAAACAAGGAGAAACUAAUAAGUAAAACUGAUAUAUAAAAAAUGUAUGAUAAUGCUGAUAAAAUUCAAUGGAAAGGUUUAGAAAACAUAAGGGAAAUUUGAAAUAAAGACUGAAACUUUUUUUUCAAAGGUUAAUCUCAGAAAAAAGAUUAGUAUUGUCCCCAUUUAAUGAAAUUUGAUACCUGCAUGUAGGCUGUGUGGGUUAGCAGUACCUCUGCACUCAGCUGUGCUCCCUUGUCCUUGCAGGGGUCCUGGAGGUUUCAGGGCAUGCCCUGCUGAGGGGCCUCAGCUGGAGGUGUUGUCCCCUCGCGGUUAACACGGCCAUUUCUCCUAACUUCAGUACCAGGUUGUUAAGAUACAACAUGAUCUCCCUUUCUAACAUGACUGGUGAAGAAUAUGGAAAGACAAAGGAAACAGAAUGUGGAUUUUCAUUUGCAGAGUAUUUUAUAAUUUUGAAUGUUUGAUCAAAAUAACUUAGUUUUCUAAUUUCUAGGUUAUGUUUUAGAAUGUUAGUUCUUUAGUUUUACUUUCUAAAAUACUAAGUGCAAACAUACUGAAAUUGGUUUGCUGCUUUUCUCCUGUAAGUUUCAAGUGUUUUUUAUUUAUUUUAUUUUAUUUUAUUUUUUCUUUUUUUUUUUGAGAUAGAGUCUCGAUGUAGUACAGGAUGGCCUUAUGUCGCCCAGGCUGGCCUCAAACUCAUGACCAUCCUCCUGCUUCAGCCUCUUGUGUGCUAGGAUUACAGGUGUGCACCGCCAUGCCCAACUCAGGUGGAAAUAAUAGGAGAAACUGAUGUCUAAUGAUUUCUGGGAUCACCCACCUGCUUCUUCAGGAUUGACUCAAGGCACAGACUGUCCCCAAAAAGAAAAGUGCUGGAGAGGUCAGAAAGGUGUCCUGAGGAAAGUGACCAAGGCAAGCUGUGAGGGACAGUAGCAGAGGAGCAGAUCAGACAGAAGCCUGGAGCCCUGAGCUGUUAUUAACCUUUGGAGCCCAGUCCCUGAGCAGGACUGCUGGAAGUGUGAGCAUUCAAAUACCCAUGGUUAGGGAGUAAAUGAGAUAUUAACUACCUUGUAUAAAUCAUCCCAUUGCCUAAAAUGACUUGGCUUAUACUAAAGUACCUGAUAGGUUUGUAAUACUCUUAAGUGGAACUUUGUGUUAGCUUGAUUAUUGGAAUUUUAUAAAUGAGUAAUACAGACGAGGUUUGUAGGAAGGACUUGUUUGCUGGCCUGCUUUCUGUUUUGAGGUGCUGGGCAGAGGCAGGGACCUCCUGUGCUAGGUUAAUUCACUCACACUGAGCAGGACUUGUGGUCUGUGGGCAGCCACACCUCUUCCCAAAGUAAGUGCAUCAUAUACUCUUUUUAUAGAAUGCAUGGCUUUUUUGUCACUGUGUAAUACACUGAAGGAAAGAUUGAAAGAAAAAAGUAGGGGGUACACUGUAUGUAUAAAAUUCAUUCUGGAAUAAGAAGUUGGGAAAUCCGAAUAUAAAGCUCUUUAGUAUUCUUUAUGGAGAAUCUUUUUCCCUAGAUUGCUAAGCAAUUUGAUAAACAUUUGAUCUGGUUAGUUGCAGUGUAAUAACUGAAGGUUCAUUAAUUUAGGAAAUGAUGGAGUAAUGACUGCAACGUCCUUUGAUACUGAUUGACUCCAGCCUGGAAAGCAAGUGGAGACCCAAACGCAUUUUUCCACCUUCUCCAUUUCCUUUCCUGUGCACUGCACAGUUUAUUUUAUUUUUGGUUUUGCAGUGUAAUUUAAAGAGUUACUCUGAAAGUUUUUGUCAGUUUUUUUGGGAGGGAUAUUGAAUUUGUUUACAUGAAAAUUAGUUUCAGUAGUCAGAGCCGGUCAAUAGCCAGUGCUAUUGAUUCUUGGACCCACUUACUGUCUUGUGCUUUCAUUUUAGUCUAGAACGUUGACCAUGUUGUUCUCAGAUCACUUCAGCCAUUCUUCUGAAAGAAUUCUUCCAUGCCACUUCAUUCUGAUCUGAGGGAUAUCUUACAUACUGAAGCUUAUUUUGAAAAGAGGCUAAAUAAAAGUACUUACAUUGGUGUUGGGCAUCUUCAGUGUGAGCUGUCUUAAUAAAAAAAUAACUGAUUUAAUUGUGUUUCCCUGUUUACAGAGGCUGAGUGAAAACGUGGCCUUUCAGUCAGUGGUAAUAGAAACCCUUAUGCAGGUGUUGGGAAGUGACAGAAAGUGACGUGUAAUACCAAUUCGUGUUUUGAAACCUUAAAAUACACUAUGAUUAAAUGUAUCGAGGAUCAGUUGGAUGAUCACAGUGCAAACCUGUGAAAUGCAUCUACUUUGAACAUGGCUGAUUUUGAGUUCCAAGUCUUCCUCCUGGGUCCUGCAGGCUGGAGGACCUGGACCUCUGCAGCACGCUGAGCCUCACCUCUGCCUGUCUGAUUCUGUGGGCGACUCCUCCGGCUCCGGAGCAUGGCUUAGUGUGUCUGGCCCUUUCGCUUUCAGCCUUGCCCUGAGGAAAUGAUGAAAAGCACUUGGGUUACCAGGUGUGCUUUUUCUAUAAACAAAGUAGAUGUGCUGUCAUUUAACAGAUGUGCUGCGGUCCACACAGGAAGUGGAGCUUUGUGUAACAAACAUUUACCUGUUCCUUACUCCUUGCCAGGUCCCACUUCAAGAUUUCACAACAGAUGAACAUAACCUUAUGAGGCGCGCUAGGAUGCAAGUUACACGAGGGAGAAACUGAGGCACAGAGAAGCAGCUAUGGGACUUGGGGUUGGGUUCCAGCUUGUCAGAAUGGGCAGGGGUGGCUUCGUGAACCUCAGAGAUGCUCGGCAGUUGCGGUGAAGACACUCCUCUGGGAUGAGUUUCCAUUUGGUGACUAGAUCUGUGAGCUUGAUGCGGUCAGCUUAUCCUGUAAUUGAUCCUACAGGGGUGUGUGUAUGUGUACUUUUGUGGAACGGGGGGUUGAACCAAGGGUCUUUGCACUGAGUCCCCACCCACUUUUGUUUUGGAAGGGGUCGUCCAGAUGGCGCCCUUGUGCCCCACAUCUGUGGAUUACAUCCCUGGAAGUUGUCCAGGCUUUGAGUGUUAGCAGAUUUUGAUUCAAAAUGUGACUGCCAUUUAGUUACCAUUUUUUUUUAAUGACUUACAGUUCUCCGUAAUGUCUUUAAAUAUAAGAUGGUGCCCAGUACUUUAUAAGAUAGGCAUGGGAUUGUAUAACUACAUGUGUGACAGACCAAGUAGGUGGAAGCUAUUCAGUAAUGGGUGGUGCACAGUGUUAAGUACAUAAUUACAUAAUUGCCAGAACUAGAAAUCCUAUAACGGAGGAGAUGCACUUGAAAGCCAGUAUCAGAGUCAUCCUGUUCACAUGUAGGGAUGGUUAGUGAAGGACCCAUCUACAGAAUAGCUGAAAGAUGUCAGUUAAACUGCAGGCGUGUGAGAUGGGGUGUCAGGGAAUCCUUUUUUAAGCAAAUCAGGCCUAAUUAGUACAAAGGAAAGUCACAUUGUUCCCAGUUAUUAAUAAUUAUCCUAUUAUAAUUAUUAAGAAUGGCUAAAAUAAUGUAUUAUAAUUUUUUUAAAAGAUAAGUUGUGUCAGUGACGUUUCUUUGCACUUUGCUUGUGUUUGUGUGUGCAUGUGUUUAACUCAUCUCGUGUCUUUGGCCCUAGUUUGUGGGUUGGCUGCAUCUCUGGCCACGGGGAAGGGACGGCUCUUCCUUUGGAGCAAGAAGCUGUCCACUUCUUGUGGUGCUGGCUCAUGUAGCAAGAGGAAAACAAGUGGGUCUGGGCCUUGAGUGCCUACAAGUCAUAGAAGCAUGUCUUACCGUAGAAUGUGAACUUUCCUGUGAGUCUGCAGUGUAAGUGAUAGGCUGCUGGGUUAGAAAGGCACCUGGGUCUUCCUCCCAUUCUUCUAAGUCUAGGGCCAGGUGAGGGUGCACUUCUGUUGUCUUCCGUUCACAAGUGGUUGAGUUCAGCAUUGCUGUGUUUCCCUUCAGACUUGCAGCUGGUCAGUCCAGGACACUUGUAGCUGAAGUUGGUAUUGUGUUGUUUCUCUUCCUGUGGUCCUAGUGCUCCAGCGUCAGAGGAAAAACCGAGAAGUCGGAAUCUCCCGGGUUGCUGAGGGCCUGCUGGCCCCUGGGUGCCACCAUGAGUAACCUUUUAGUAAGGUUUUAGUAAGGGUGGUAAAUUAGGGUGUCGUCCCUGAGACUUGGCUGAAUUUUCCUUCUGUUCUUAGAUCCCUCUGUUAAGAGCCAAUUGCAUGUGACCAUUUUUGUAUAAAAGGAGUGAUAUGUUUUGCCCUUUGCUUUGAAAACAGUAAUGAGAAUUUGAAAAAUUUUCUCUGUAUGUAUUUUAACCCAAGCUAGUAAGUAUGUUGUGAAAGAGCAAAUUACUCAUUUCAACCAAAAAUGUGAAAAUAUUAAAAAUCCUCUUAUGUAAGUCAACAAUAUAAUGGUAUGUAUUUUAAUAGUAGAAUAAAUACCAGCAUAUAAACUAAAGUAUAAAUCCCUAUACCCUGAAAAUCUCAUCUUGGGUUCAAUAUAUUUAACAUUUUAAGUAAUUUUGUCAGUCUGAAAUUCAUUUUUGGUAGUAUCAAAAAUAAAUUCCUUUUUUUUCAGAGAUAAUAUAAGUUAAUAUCAAGUUCCAAGACAGAAAUUAGCUGAAAAAAAUUACAUUUUACAUAUGUUGUUUUCUUUUAGAAUCAUAUUGACAGAUAAACAGUUGUAGUCUAAUAAAAUACUAUCAGUACUCAAAACACACUCCCAAAUAAUUUUAUUUAGUAAUGAAGAUUUAUAUAAUAUAUACAGCUGAGAUUUUAAAAAUUGGGUUUACUUUCUAAUCCAUGAAAACUCGUGGAGCUGGGUAGAUUUGAAAUGUCUACCUGAGUAAAACUGCGGCACCCUUCCUUGUUAGACAGGCAGGUUUGUGUGAGAGUGCAGCGGCGUUCUGUGGCCGGCCGAGGGUCCUUCCUCUUCCAUGCUCUGGGAAGACACAGUAGCACCGCCGUGGCCGCUGGAGAUAGCUCGGUGCUUCUCUAGCCUGUUGGUCGCCUGGACCUUGGUGGCAGCUGAAGUUUUCACAUCUAUAAAUGGGGUGAUAAUUGUAAUUUUUUUUUGUAAGAUCGCAUUGAAGGUUAGAUGGGAAUUUCUGUAGAGGUAAUCACAAUGCUUAUGGCCAUUUUAGGACUUUAUUAAUACAUAUCGUAAAUUAGAGUAGUAAUUUUUUUCUGUGGAGGAUAGUGAUUUAUGAUUAUUUGUAAGUGUAUUGUCGAUUAUGUGUGUUUCUUACUGUUGGAUAUUAGCAUUCUGUGUUCAAGACAGCACUUUCUCACUGCUUGGAAACCUGUAACCUGCAGGAACCGUCAGAAACCUUGUACUUAGCAUGGUGCUGCACGUGGAAACCCUGGAUGAUUAGGAUGAGAAGGGCCUGGUGUCUGAAAGUGUCCUCCAGUUUCUCCCUAGGGGAAUUUUCUCCUAUUGUUUUUUACUCAUUGUUAUGUUAGGAAAUGUUGUGGUCCUACCAUCCUCCCCCUGAGAAUCAGAACACCUUUGUUUGUGAUCAUUAUUUUUGUUGUACACAUGUAGUGAUUUUCUGCUAUUUUCUCAUUAAAACCUAGGUUAUAAGUUGUUUUCUGUAGCGAUGUGAAUAGUGAUAGGAACUACCCCAGCCUCAUAGCACUUUAGUGUUUGAGGAGGUGGUAAACUCACUAAUGCUUAUGGGAUGUUUCCUGUGUGUCAGGCCCCACCUUAACUGCUUUGAUAUUUAUUAACCUAGUUAGGGUACCUUAGAUUUAGUCCUCCUCUUUUUAAUAUCUGCCAGACACUGUGUUAAAAAUUGGGGGGAAAUAAAAAAAGAAACUUCAAUUCUUACUCUCAAGAUGUAUAAAGGUGGAAAUUGAAAACAUAUAAAGGGAUUAGAGUGACAGUUACCUUUGUAGUCACCUUUGAGAGAACACUGUCUGAGCCCACCCCUGCGCGCUCGGCACAGUCUGACUUCACUGCCUCCUUGGGUUCCCUCACUGUGCCUUCUCUCCUUAUCCCUGGGGUCUGAGCUGGAGUCCCCUGACCAGUGUCACUGUGGGCUCCUUUUCAUUUUCAGGUCCUUGGUGGUCACAUGGCCAGGACUGUGUUUGAACUGAAUAACAUCAUUUAAAGUACAUUUAGUUUAUAGCUGUGCUUACUGUUUAUAGUUACAGUGGCACAGUGACAUCAUGAAAGCAGGGAUAAGUGUGACUAUCACUUUCCUUGUUAUUCUGCAGAGGUGCUGGGCAUUUGGACAGUGCAGGGAAGAAGUAAGCUUAUGGGCACUGGUGGGUGAGGAGUGGGCAGUGGAGUUAGUGGGCAGGGGCAGGGCAUCAGACAAGGCUGCACUGGUUAGCUGUAACUCCCACACGCCUGUCGAGAGGGGUGCAGUUGCUUGGCUUUGUCUUCAUCUGUACGAGGUGUCUACAGGCAGUGCAGCUGCAGGUGCCGAUUGGAUCUGCUUCCCACGAUGGAUGCUGCAGACGCACGUUAGAAAGCGUAGUGGACCCCUGAGCAGCGGCUGGGGGUGUCGCUCAGUAGAACACUCGUCAGCGCUCUUUCCUCUUUGCUUCACUUGCGUCGCAUGCAGCACGUUUAGGCUUUCUUCAGUUUGGCACCGGUGACCACAGCACCAUCAGACGGUUCCCUGUGAGUACAGACUUACAGCUCUUCGAAUGGGAUGCCUCUGGUUUGAGGCAGUGCUGUAUCUAUCAUUUUUCGUGUCUGGUUUUUUAGUUGGUUUAUCAUUUGGCUUUGGAAUUUAGCCAUUUGUAUGUUUGAGGCAUUGUCUCUUUCAAAAUAUUGACACAGAGAGAGGCAAAUGAACAAAAACUCUGUUGACACUGAUCCAAGUGAUUCGCCUCCAGCUUCUACACUCUGGGUUCCUGUCCCUCACAGGGCCGCUGUUUGUUCAUGGCCUGCAUGUGCGAGAAGGAUCUGACUGUCCUUCACAGUGCGGCUGGAACUGACAGGGACACCUCCCGAUUAUUCCCUGGAGUAUCUUGAAAGAGCAGAUGAUAACACAUUGCUGUGUGUGCAUAAUGCAUCACAGCCCACAAGAAAAUACCAGUUCAGUGGAGUCCUAACUAUGGGAAACAUGUAUGUUGGUUCGUUUUGUAAAUUGUCCUUUUACAAUCAAGUAUGUUGGAAAUGAAGGCCACCUCCAGCUCAGACAGAAUUGUUAGUGAAUUGCCAGUUGGAAAGGUCAGGAGAGUACAUGGGACCUGCCCUUGCCAUCCACCCCUGCAGGAUCUGCUCAUUGCCUGCGUGUUGCCGGGACCUUGGGUGGCUCCUGUCCCUUUCCCUCAGCGGUCACCUGGGCACUGUCCUCUCUGGCUUCUGUGGUAUGUGGCCCCUGGCUGCUGGCCUAAGGCCUGGGCAGGUGGACCCAGCACUGAAGCGGACAUGCGGCAUCAGCACCAGGGCCUGGGUUCUCUGUGUGCUGCUGUACUGUGCAUUUCUGUACGUUCUGUGAUGAUUGCCUGCUGCUUUCCAAAACUAGUUCACAAAGAGCAUUUGUGAUCAGAUUGGUAUUUCUUCCUUCAGGUGCCUCAGUGGUCAUUUCAGUUUUUACAUUAAUGGUUAGUAAAGAAAGUUCCUUUUCAAACUAAAAAUUUUAACAAUUCAGAAGCAAUAGUGAACUACAGUAGUUUCUCAUUUAUUAUCAAGUGCUGAUUCAUUACAAAAAAAGAUAUAGAGAGAAACAGUCCCUCUUUUGAGAAACUUCAUUGUAGAGCCACAAAGAUAUGGAGAGGAUUUAAGCUUUAUUUGACAUAUGAUGAGAGUGAAGUCAUUUCUGUGAAGGUGUAUUUUUCUCCUUGUUGAGAUGUUUAUGUAUAAGGGCACAUACGUAGUCAGUGCUUACUAGAGACACAGUUAAUGUGAGAUGUACAAACCUAUAAGAACUUGCCAGAUUAGUGUACAGUGGCCUCCCGCAGAGUCAGGUGUGGAAGAAUACAAGAGGUCUGUCUGCGGCGAGCUGAAGAUUCGAAAGAUCCAGUUGAAGGUCUGGAGCUCAGUGCAGUGUCCCGUGCAAGUCCUACCAGGAGGCUGAAGGGUCUGCAUCAGAAGCCAGGAGACGAUGUCCAGGUGAGAGGAAGAUUGGAGCUCCUCCGAAAAAGCUGAAGCCCGCCUUCCUUCUUCAUUUCUCUUUUCUCCUUCAUUUCCCCGUCAAGCAGCAAACCUUUCUAGGGUGAAUCCUCAGCCACGUCUAGAACUAUGCUGAUCUAGUUUAGUCUGGAGUUUCCUACUUAAUUGACACGGUUAACUAUCCCAGCACAAUUGCCAAUUCCUGUGAGUACCAGUGUGGUAAAACAGUCUGUGUGAAGACAGUGUUGGAUGGAGAUGGCGCCCGUAGCUUUUGUCUGUUGCUUAAGAACUUUUGUGCCCACCUAACUGACCUGACCUUUUAAUUUGGUAAAGUGUGGAGAAGACAGUUUUCAUAAUAUUCCUGGAUUUCUGAUUGACUUGCACAAAACUUGUGUGGUAGUGGAUAUAAAUAUAAAAUGAAGUUGAUGUGGGGUAGAUGAUAAUGUGAUCAAAUGGAUUUUUUUCCUGUUUGAAGAAAGAAGCUGACAUUUUAUGAAUGAAUUCUGGCAGAGAGGCUUGUGGUGAUGAGCAGGGGGCCCUGUGGUUUGUAUGUAUGAGAUCUCUGUAGGUGUUUUGCCAUUAAUGAUAGCAAAAAUAAAAAUCUGGAAAUCUCUGAUUGAUAGUGAAGUAAAAAUGUAGAUAAUGGAAAAGAACCCAGGAUUUUAAGAAGUUCCCUUCCUCGUCAGUGAGAAACACAUCUUCUCUGUCAUUCUCCAAAGCCCCUGCCAUAUUACCCUCUAUGAAAGUAUUUAGGGAUGUCUUGUUACUGUUGAUUGUAUGAGUUGUAGCCAUUAUAUGCAGUAGCAGACACAGAAUGACACUGAUUCCUGAGUCUCACUCUUGGAAAUGCUGAAUUAACUGCCCUGGGGUGGGGCUGAGGCAUGUGCUUAGUGUGGGCUCUUAAGAGAUUGUGAUGUUCACCCAGGGGGAAGGCACACUGGGCGAUUUUCAUGCAUUUUCCUGUUGAAGGUUUUCUGAUGUGGAAGAAAGAUCACAUAUUCCCACAUCCUAUGCCAUGGCUAUUGCUGCCUUGUUGCCUAUGUUUGCUCUGGGUGUUUUCUUGACAAGAGUGACUAACAUGAAAAUAUCCCUCAGAAUAUGGAAUUAAGUCCACACACACAAACACACACACAUGGUUAUGGUUCGUCCUGCACCAUUAAGUGAAUUAAGUUGGUCUACUGAGGAUGAGGUGGUGCUUUCUCAGCCCUGUCUCCUCUGUGGGUUCAUUGUUUUGCACUCCCUUCCUUUGGGUUCCUCUGAGCCCUACUGUGUGUGGAUAGAGUCAAGCUUAGGCAUAACUGUUAGUGACCAAGAUGUUUUCUUCUCAGCGAAGUUUCUGGCCCACAAACUGGGAGUAGCUAGUCAGGUGCAUAGUUAUGGUUAGCAUCAGCCUGAUUUGCAGUUUUCUAAUUUUUACUAAAAGUCACUUGAGCAUUGCAGAGCAUGCUAUAAUCUCAGGAAACAAAGUAAAACCAAGUGAAUCAGGCAACACUGCACUGUGGCUCGGGUGUGAGGAGGCUCCUAGCCUCCUCUGGAGCACAGUGCUUACCUGCCAUUGUCUCCUUUUCCUCUUUGUAGAAUGAGAAGGUUAAAUUAAGCAAUGAUUAAGGUUCUCCUAGGCCUGACAGUCUGAAGUGCUACUUUAUUAUUAGUUUAAGAAGAUAUAGCAUCUACCUGUUGCUUAGUACUAUUUCCCUCACAUAAAAGAAAAUCUAGCUAAAAGCCAAAUAAAAA